rnacentral:lncRNA from 1 species
CACUUCCAACAAAGAGGUUGUGAGUUCGAGUCACCCCAAGAGCAAGGUGUGGAGUUCUUGGAGGGAGGGAGUCGAGGGUCUAUCGGAAACAGCCUUUCUGCCCUAGGGUAGGGGUAAGGUCUGCGUACACACUACCCUCCCCAGAUCCCACUAAUGGGAUUAUACUGGGUUAUUGUUGUUGUUGUAUUCUAACAUUGAUCAUGUGAAUUUUAUUUUUGGGGAUUUACAGGAGGAUGGAGUAAUACUGUACAAGAAUGUAGGAACAAAUUGAGGAUUAUCCUGCAGGAACAAUUUACCGCUCAGAAUACGGCCAAGCAAGGAAGAAAAGAGCGGGUCAUACAUAUAUCAUCUGAUGAAUUUGGCCUAAUAAGCUAUAUGAAGAAUCCCAAAGAGCAGAAACAAGGAAUGAAUUCAGAUUAAGGGUGGAGUUCAUAAGUUCUCGGAAACGAAAAACAUUCAAGGGAGUUUUAUUUACCUCUUGCUUUUUAUUCGUGUGUCAUGGGGACAUGCUACAAUUUGAAGUGUGGGGUGGGGGGGGGUGUAAAUAUGUAAAUGUGUAUUUGUUUUCGUUUCUUUUGAUUAAUUAUUUUUUUGACUUUUCCCGAUGAUGGAUUUCCUCGAUUGUCUUCUUGAGGGAUCAAAAUCAAAGAAAAAAUAUUUUGUUUUUUUCUUAGGUAGUGUAACAAUUUUUUCUUGGUUUUUCUUUGUACCGCGAUUCUUUUCCAAGGGUUUUGCUUGAAUUAGGUGUAGUUAGUUUUUUUCUUUAUUAGGAAUAGUGAAGUCUUGUGUUAUGUAUUAAAUGAAGAUGACUUUUCGUGACGUUGUUGUGCCUUGAGAGUAGUGAGUGCCUUAGUUAUGAUGUCUAGGCUUAGUUCUUGACUCAUGUAUAAGUGUCUAUUUUGAUGUUGCUUAAUUGCUUUGACUAGAGAGUCGGAAUAGAUCCGAUCCUAUGUGAGUUAUGUGCUAUGGUGUGUGUGAGGUGGUUGUUAUAUUCUGUGCAUAUCAGAUGCUGUCUAGAACUUGCCCCGAGUGUUUACAAAGCGAAAUAGCAGUUUUUUUAGUCUAGGAUGUGAUAGAGACGUUUCUUUGUUGAGCUAGAUAUAUACUUGUGACCCGCUUGAUUGUUGUGUAUCUUAGUUAGCCCCUUUGAGCAUGUAAUCCUAUUUUCUUAGGCAACCACACUACAAGCCUAACCCCUUUGUUUGAAUUGACUAUCUGUUUAAACCUUUUACCUCUCUAUGAGCACUUGAUUUAUUUAUGAGCUUCUUAAAAGUUAAGUUGAGGUAUGGUCAGGUUUUUGAGUAGAACUAUUGAGAAUGGAGAAAGGUGCACUAGUUGAAAAAUUAUGAGAGCCACGUGUAUGCAAUUGAAAAAAAAAUGAAUUUGCUUGAAGAAAAAAAAUCAAAACAUUGAAAGAAAAGAAAAAAAUAGUUUGUAUAUGUAUUAGAAAAAAAAAAUGAUUCCUUGCUAGUGGUAGUUCUCAUCUUGUUUGUUCUUAAAGAUAUGGGGAGGUUGAUGCUAUUAUGUGUGAAGGUUAAGAUUUGGUUCAAAAUAAGUGUGUGGUUUAAAUUGUGAAAUUGUAUGUAUUAAAGUGCUUAGGGAGGUGUAGUCACUAUUAUCGAAAUUAUAUCUUACCCGUCCCUUACCAGUCCCGCAGCCUACAUUACUGUUAAAUAUGAGUUUCAAUGAUGAAAAAAUAAUAUAUCACGUUUGGUGCAGGAUCACAGGGGAUAAAACAAAGAAAUCAAGAUUCCUUAUCACUCAAGCAUGGACUAAGGAAACAAUCUAUCAACGGAAGCAAAGGAAAGUAAAAGUAUCAAUGAUUAACUAUGAAAAAGGAAGAAGCAGCAGAAAUUCGGAAGAAGAAUCAAUCAAUGAUUUGAAAAAGGAAGAAGCAGUGGAAAUCCGGAAGAAGAAUCAAUCAAUGAUUUGAUAGAUGAUUGACGGAAGCUAGUAUAGAAAGGUCCUAAAAUCAAAUGAAAAUAAGAGUGCGAAGCUCUACACUGGAGAUCGUUAAAGCCCGAAAUCAGAGGAUCCAUCAUUAAUUACUCAAGUAACGGAAUAAUCUGCCCAACGAAAGAAAAGCCUUUCAAGGCCACAAGUCAAGGAAGAUCAACGAAAACCUGACCUUAUUCUUGGAAAGAAUCAAUUUGCGAUUCCUUUCAAAGAUCAAUUCCCUUGGGUUUGUAAUCUCUCAAGACUCGCAUGAAUCAAGAGUCAAGAAGGCCUCACGAAGUAUAUAUAUAUAUCGGUUCCCUGCUUGAAGCAGAUAUACUUUGAACGACCCAUUAUCACUCUUUUUGUUAUACUCCAAACAAGCAUUGUAUUUCUUUUUAGAUCUGCUGUGUAAUUAAUGAGAGAAGAAAAAGAAAUAAACACUGGUGAGGCAUUGUAUCAAGAAGGGAAAAGUGACAUAGAGACCAAGCUGUUGGUGUAAAGCUACACCAACCAUCUUGUACUCGAGAAACUACAAUACUGAAAGAGAUCAUCCUUGCAACCCAAGGGGACUAGACGUAGGAUUCACAUUGAAUCCGAAUCAUUAUAAAAAUCCUGGUGUCUUUAUUUCUUGCACUUUAUUUCUGCAUUAUUAUUAUUAUUAUUAUUAUUAUUAUUAUUAUUAUUAUUAUUCUAUUUUUAUCUCUAGUCGACUAAUUGGUAAACUAGUCAACUACUUAGAGUACUGAAAAUAAAAAUUGACAAUUCACCCCCCUCUUGUACUUUUAAUUGGUAUCAGAGCUAGUCUCACACUUUUUGCUUAAUAACUUGUAAGAAAAGAUCAUGGCAAAUCAAGUAACUGUUGGAGCACUCUUUCAAGAAGGAACGUCGCAAGUCAGACCACCAUAUAUCAAUGGACAACACUUUUCUCACUAGAAAGUGCAAAUGGAAAUAUAUGCAAAAUCAUAUGAUGUCAAAGUAUGUCGCAUUAUCAAAAAGGGUAACUAUCCACUACCAACAGCGAUUCAACCACCCACUGAUCCGGAAGAUAUAGAUGAAUACACAGGCGAGCAAAUGGCAGUUGUUCAAGUCAAUGCUAAGACACAUAAUUUAUUCUAUAAUGCUAUAAGUGGAGAGGAGUAUGAGAAAAUCUCAAGUUGUGACACAUCCAAAGAAAUGUGGGAUAAACUGAAAGUUACUUAUGAAGGAACCAGCAAGGUGAAAGAAACUCACAUAAACAUGUUGGUUCAUGAUUAUGAACUUUUCCAGAUGAAAGAAGGAGAAUCCAUUGCGGAAAUGUUUGCAAGGUUCAGCAAAAUCAUUGCGAUCUAAAAGCCUUUGGUAAACCUGCUCAAGUGGUGAUCAAGUUUGAAAUAUUCUAAGAAGUCUACCUACCACUUGGCAGACAAAAGUGGUCGCACUCAAAUCUCAAGAUCUAAACAAACUUUCUUAUGAUGAGUUACGAAAAGAUCUUAUAGCAUUUGAGAAAACACACCUCAAGAAAACAAACCAGGAAGAAAAGAAGAAAACAAUUGAUUUCAAAGCUACAACGGAAAGACCUGAAUAUGUUAUUGAUUGACCCAGAAACUCUUAAAGAGGAGAUUGCCAUGGUAUCAAGAAACAUGGAUGGUUUAAUGAGAAGGUACAAAAAUACAAGAAGGGGAGGAUGUCAUCCAGACAAACCAAGCAAUAUAAUGAACAAGACAAGAAUGAUGGAAAAUGCUAUGAAUGUGGAAGGUACGGGCAUGUUCAAGCCGAGUGUCCUGAACUUAAAAGAAAAGCCUCCAGAGGAUUCAACAAAAAUAAAUCUUUCAGAAGUUGGAGUGAUGAAGACAACUAAGAUCAUGAAGAAAUAGCAAACUUGUGCUUCACAACAAUUCUAGAAAAUGAAAUGAAUAAAUACACUGGAUGCUGAACUGAUGAAGACACAUCAGAUGAUGAAAGCAAAGAAAAUACUGAAAAUUGCUUCAUGGCACUCAGUGAAACAAGCGAGGUAAGAUCCUAUAACUAUGAUAGAUGUAAUGAAUUGCAGGAUAUUCUUGAUCUCACCCUAAAGGAGUCUCAAAAGAUGUUGAACGAAUUGAGAAGACUCAAUAGGGAAAAGAAGGAAUGAGAACUCAAACUUGAAGUAUGUGAAAUCGAAAGGGAUGUACUUCAAGAUGAGGUUCAGGAAUUGCAAAUGCAAUUGAAUGGCAUGCGUAAAGCCACCAGUCACAGUUCUGUCAAGUCCAACCAGGCGACUUACAAGUCAACUUGAAAAGGGCCAGCUAGAACUGAAUCCACAAGUACUAACACAAGUGAUAGAUCAAAAACUAGAUCAAUCAAUGUGUGUCACUACUUUAAGAGGGUGGGACGUAAUUACUCCUUUUGCAGAUUUUGUAAGUCUAAUGUUUCAAGAUAGAUUUGGAAACCUAAAGACAUACCUGAUUCCAGUAGAACUAACCAGCAAGUACCCAAGCAAGCUUGGGUACCUAAAAGAAAGUGAUAAUUUUAUUUUGCAGGAACACCACAUAAAGAGCCGCAAAGGAAAAUGGUACAUAGAAAGUGCAUGUUCCAGUCACAUGACAUGCGACAAACACCUGCUCAAAGAAGUUACUAAGAUAAAUGGAGGAAGUUUCAAAUUUGGUGAUGAUUCAAGAGGAAAGAUAGUUGGCACCGACACAGUUCCAUCCAAUAACAAAUGUGAUAUUACUGAAGUAUAUCUUGUAGAUAGACUCAACUAUAAUCUCCUGAGUAUAAGUCAGCUCUAUGAUUCAGGGUACGAAGUUAAAUUCAAGAAAACAGGAUGCGCUAUUGAAGAUGAGUCAGGUAAAAUUAUACUCCCAGGAAAAAGGUAUGGAAAUGUUUACAUUCUUGAUGGCAUUGAAAAUUUAGAUAGUCACAUCUGCUUAGCAUCUAUAUAUGAUGAUCCAUGGUUGUGGCAUAAGGAACUUGGUCAUGCAAGCAUGCAUCUAAUUGAGAAACUCUCCAAGUAUGAUUUAGUUAUUGGACUUCCUAAACUCAAUUUUUUUAGAAAUCAUGUAUGUGAUGCAUGUCAAAUUGGUAAACAAACCAGAAACUCCUUCAAAAGCAAAGACAUUGUGUCUACUACCAAGACCUUAUAAUUGCUUCACAUGGAUUUAUUUGGACCCACCAGAACUGCUAGCAUUUAAGGGAAAACGAUAUGAUUUUGUUAUUGUUGAUGACUACUUAUAUUUUUCAUGGGUUAUUUUCUUAUCUCAUAAAGAUGAAGCUUUGAAAUACUUUGAGAUUUUCUGUAAAAGAGUUGAAAGAGAAAAAGGAUAUCUCGUUACAACCAUCCAAAGUGAUCAUAGAGGAGAAUUCGAAAGCAGAGCAUUUGAAGAUUUCUGCAAUGAUCAAGGAUAUACUCACAACUUUUCAGCUCCAAGAUCACCUCAACAGAAUGGAGUAGUUGAGUGAAAAAAUCAAACACUACAAGAUAUGGCUAGAACAAUGAUAUUGGAACAUUUCCUGCCAAAUCAUUUUUGGGCAGAAGUAGUAAGCACAACCUGCCACAUUCUCAACAGAUGUCUUAUAAGACAUAUCUUGAAGAAAACUCCAUAUGUAUUAUGGAAAGGUAAACAGCCCAACAUAAGGUAUUUUCAUCCAUUUGGCAACAAGUGUUUUAUCCACAAUAACGGUAAGGACAAUCUUGGAAAAUUUAAUCUAAGAAGUGAUGAAGGUAUUUUUCUGGGUUAUUCCAUAAGCAGUAGAUCUUUUAGAGUUUAUAAUAAAUGUACUUUAUAUGUAGAAGAAUCAGUACAUGUCAUAUUUGAUGAAAAUAACACUACGACCGAGAAAGGAAUCAUUGCAGUGAUGAAGACAUUAACCAAGAAACAUCAUACACAAGCAAAUCACAAAAGUCGACUGGUAAUACAGACACUGUCACAGAUUCGACUAAUGCACCUAUCAAUAGUCAACUAGAAUCUCAGAAGGAGUCAACUACUCAUACGAUUGUAACACGUCAAAAUGAGUGGAGAAGUGAACCGGAAUAUCCUCAGAAGUUUAUCAUAGGAGAUUCAAGUAAAGGAAUGAAAACCAGGGGAGCUCUCAAGAAAAAAGCAAAUGUAGCACUCAUCUCUCAGAUCGAACCAAAGAAAGUUGAGGAAGCCUUAAAAGACUUCAGCUGGGUACAAGCAAUGCAGGAGGAACUCGAUCAAUUUGAUAAAAAUCAAGUCUGGGAACUGCUACCUAAGCCUGCAAAUGCUACCGUAGUUGGAACCAAAUAGGUGUUCAGAAAUAAGCUAAAUGAAGAUGGAAAGGUUGUGAGAAAGAAAGCCAGAUUCGUAGCCCAAGGCUACUCAUAGCAGGAAGGAGUCGACCACGAUGAAACCGUCGAUCCAGUAGCCCGACUAGAGUCCAUAUGGAUUAUUCUAGCAUAUGCAUCCUUCAAACGAUUUAGACUUUUUCAAAUGGAUGUCAAAAGUGCCUUUUUAAAUGGCUUUAUUGAUGAGGAGGUAUAUGCAAAACAACCUCCUGGUUUUGAAGACUUGGAAUUUCCAUACCACGUGUAUAAGUUAACUAAAGCUCUGUAUGGACUCAAACAAGCUCCACGAGGAUGGUACGAAAGACUUAGCUCAUUUCCACUUGACCAUGGCUUUACAAGAGGUAAAGUAGACACUACAUUAUUUAUUAAAAGAUCAUCAGGAGGUAAUCUUAUUAUUCAAGUCUAUGUUGAUGAUAUUAUCUUUGGAAGUGCUAACCCUCUUUUGUGCAAGGAAUUCGCUAAUCACAUGCAAAGUGAGUUUGAAACGAGCAUGGUGGGAGAGCUUACUUUUUUCCUUGGACUUCAAAUUCAACAAUCUGAAGAAGGAACUUUUGUGUUCUAGACGAAAUAUACAAAGGAAUUAAUUCAAAAGUUUGGCAUGAGCAGUGCUAAAGCAAUUGGUACACCAAUGAGCCUGUCAACAAGUCUCGACAAGGACGAAAAAGGAAAUCUAGUUGAUGAAACUAAAUUCCAUGGAAUGAUUGGCUCUCUGCUUUACUUGAUUGCCAAUCGACCAAAUAUUAUGUUUAGUGUGUGUAAAUGUGCCAGGUUUUAAUCAGCUCCUAAGGAAUCGCAUCUGAUUGCAGUAAAGAGAAUAAUUCGUUAUCUUAUUGGAACUAUUUCAUAUGGACUAUGAUACCCACGUUCUAAUAAUUUUAAGCUUGAAGGUUUUUCAGAUGCUGAUCUUGCAGGUGAUAAAGAAGAUAAAAGGAGCACUAGUGGAACAUGUCAAUUACUGAAAAAGGCAUUAAUAUCAUGGAACAAUAAGAAACAAGGCUCAGUUUUAUUAUCCACAAAUGAGGCAGAAUAUAUUGCCAUUGGACAGUGCUAUGCAUAGUUACUAUGAAUGUCUCAUCAACUAGGUGACUAUGAACUAUGUUUUAAAUCUAUUCAAAUAUUUUGUGAUAACUCUAGUGCUAUAUGUCUCUCAAAGAAUCAUGUGCAUCAUUUUAGGGCUAAGCAUAUAGAUAUUAAAUAUCAUUUUAUUAGAGAUCAUGUCCUUAAGAAAGAUAUAGAAUUAUCAUUUGUUGGCACCACUGAUCAAUUAGCAGACAUUUUUACUAAGCCUUUACUUGAAGAUAGAUUUUGCUCCCUUAGAGAACUACUUGGCAUUAUUUCUCUUGAUCAUAAAAAUUAGGACCUAUGUGCUAAUUUUAAUUCUUGCGAGUCUGAUGUUUUCAGUUUUAUUUUCUCUGUAAGUACGCAUUAAUUAAGCGCCUUCGAUUUCCCUCUCUUUUCCCAUCGGUCGCAGCUUUCAAGAAAGGAAAAUCAAUCAUCAUAACCCUUCACUGACACCCUUUCCUUUCUUGUACUCAACAGUCAAAACCUUUUCUUUUUAGUCCUCUGAACCAUCCUCUCUUGUCUUCAUUGCUCUUAUCACUCAGAAACCUCUCUUCAAAAUAUUCCAAUGGCUAAACACUCCAAGAAUCCAUUUGCCUCCACAAGAAAAAGUACUCGUUUUAAGGGAAAACCCUCUUCUCAGCCUCCAGAACAAGUAGACCUGGGGUCUGACCACUUAGAAGGGUUUGCCUCUUCUCAAGCAGAACCAUCUGACCAUUCUCACCGUAUAGGAGAAAGAGCUCUUGGAAAAUUGCCCAUGGAAGACCCCCUUGAAUCUUUUACUCCCAAGAGAUCCAAAGAAGACCUCUCGAGUUCUCUAGAGUCCGACCUCAAUUUCUCGGAUACCCCAAAUAGGGAUUUCUUUAUUUCUCUCAAAGACAAGCCCAUUUCUCACGACAGAGUAAUCAAUCUUAAUGACACGGAGGCUCUCAUUUGUAAGGUAAAGGAUUUGUCUGUUUUUCAAAGAUGGUCCAAAUUCCUCUCCGUACCCCCUCCCAAAGUUUAUGAACCUUUAGUGAGGAUGUUCUAUGCAAAUCUUUGUUCUAGCAAGCCUGAUAAGUUAGAAUCCCUAGUUCUAGGAAAACGCAUUGCCCUUGAUUGUGCCAUGUUUGACUCAAAUUUUCAGUCUAAGUGCUCUGGCUUUCCCAUGCUUUUCAAAAAUACUUGGCCUGAUGACUUUAAAAUAUCUUAUGACCAAGAAAAAAUGUUGUAUAGCUGAGUGUCCAUCUGAUUUUUUUCCUAACCAGUUAGGUCCCAGUGAUGUUAGCUUCGAAACACGAGUUCUAGCCCACAUUGUUGCAACUACCCUUCUUCCUCGCACUGGCUCAUUCUCCACCUUCUCUCAACAAGACACCUUUCUUUUCUACUGUCUUGUGACCAAACUUAAGGUUAAACUGUGCUCAUGGGUCAUAAACUUCAUGAUUGAAACUGCUGAUGACCCUACCAGUCAACCUUAUGGUAUGGCUAUCACUCACAUCUUGGAAGCCUAUAACAUCUCUAUAUUAGAAUACCCCUUUGUUUCUGUUUCAAAGUCCUACAACUUUAGAGCUUUUGCCAGUAUGGGGUAUGUGUGUGUUAAGGGUUUCUGGGUGAAGAAACAUGAGGGUGAAGUCAAGAAUGUUCAGCCUGAUUCUAAGAUCAAAGCUUCUGCUUCCCAUCAUAGUGUAAGUGAUCCUGAUCUUGUAGAAAAAUUGACUGCUAUUGACAAUAUACUGACCAUCAUCAAGGACCUUCUUGCUGCAACUCAAUCAAUGGUUGGGGACAUCCAUGCCAUCUCCAAAGAGACUGGGUCCGAUGUUUCAAAGAUAAGGGUCAAAAUUCUCAAACUUGCAGAAAACGCUGUCAAAACCUUCAAGGAAGUACAUGACAUGAUUGAUGGGGUGACAGUUUCAGCUAAUGCCAGCUUUGAGCGUCUAAAGGAGGUUAUUUGCAACAUUCUUACUUAUUUUUUGCGUCGUUAGUUGUGGAUGUUUCAGAUAAUCUUUUGCCAUUUUGCUGUUUUGGACUGGAUAAGUAGUCGCUGGAUAUUUCCUUUACUUUUGCUAAACUCUGCAUGCCUAUAAUAUGCAAAUAUUUGCCUAUGAUGUGCCUGUCUCUGCUUAAUUUCAAUUGUAUAUAUGCAUGUCCCCUCUUUUCUGAUAACAAAAGGGGGAGAAAAGAUAGUCAUAUAUUACAGUACAAAUAACUGCACUUGUUAAGGGGGAGUCGACUGAAGCAUAUGCAGUACCUGUUGAGGGGGAGUCGAGUGAAGUACAUGCAACACCUGUUGAGGGGGGAGUCGACUGAAGUACAUGCAGCACUUGUUGAGGGGGAGUCGACUACAGCAGAACAAGCCGAUAGGGAAGUAAACUGUUAUUUAUAUAUUUUAUUUUUGUCAUCAUCAAAAAGGGGGAGAUUGUUAAAUAUGAGUUUCAAUGAUGAAAAAAUAAUAUAUCACGUUUGGUACAGGAUCACAAGGGAUAAAAUAAAGAAAUCAAGAUUCACUAUCACUCAAGCAUGGACUAAGGAAACAAUCUAUCAAUAGAAGCAAAGGAAAGAAAAAGUAUCAAUGAUUAGCUAUGAAAAAGGAAGAAGCAGCGGAAAUCCGGAAGAAGAGUCAAUCAAUGAUUUGAAAAAGGAAGAAGUAGUAGAAAUCUAGAAGAAGAAUCAAUCAAUGAUUUGAUAGAUGAUUAAGGGAAGCUAGUAUAGAAAGGUCCCAAAAUCAAAGGAAAACAAGAGUGUGAAGCUCUACACUGGAGAUCGUUAAAGCCCGAAAUUAGAGGAUCCAUCAUCAAUCACUCAAGUAAUGGAAUGAUCUGCCCAACGGAAGAAAAACCUGUCAAGGCCACAAGUCAAGGAAGAUCAACGGAAACUUGACCUUAUUCUUGGAAAGAAUCAAUUUCCGAUUCCGUUCAAAGAUCAAUUCCCUUGGGUUUGUAAUCUCUCAAGACUCGCGUCAAUCAAGAGUCAAGAAGGCCUCACGAGUAUAUAUACAUCUGUUCGAGGCUUGAAGCAGAUCUACCUUGAACGAAUCAUUAUCACUCUUUUUGUUCUACUCCAAACAAGUAUUGUAUUUAUUUUUAGAUAUGUUGUGUAAUUAAUGAGAGAAGAAAAAGAGAUAAACAUUGGUGAAGCAUUAUAUCAAGAAGGGAAAAGUAAUAUAGAGACCAAGUUGUUGGUGUAAAGCUACAUCAACCAUCUUGUAUUCGAGAAACUUCAAUACAGAAAGAGAUCACCCUGCAACCCAAGGGGACUGGACGUAGAAUUCACAUUGAAUCCGAACUAGUAUAAAAAUCGUGCUGUCUUUAUUUUCUGUACUUUAGUUUUGCAUUAUUAUUAUUCUGUUCUUAUCUCUAGUCGACUAAUUGGUAAACUAGUCAAUUACUUAGAGUACUAAAAAUAAAAAUUGACAAUUCACCCCCCCUCUUGUACUUUCAAUUACAACCAAUUAAAGUCCUACUUGAUCCUCGACUGAAUGAGCUCAAUUAGUAGAGUAUUACACUACAGGCAAGCCUAUGGUACGUCUUCUAUGGCACAUGAAUUUUAUUUCUGAGAAUGAGUUAGUUGUUUCUAUCUUGAGUUCCUAAUUAUUCUUGAAAUUUAUCGUGUGUAGAAUUACUCUCUAUUGUUUAUGUGAGGGCACAUGAUUUGCGAAGGUAAGGUAACGUCUUAGGCCUCUGUGCUAGAGUAAGUGAGCAGGUUUUAAAAAAUACGUGGUGCUUGUGAUUGAGUCUUGAGACUAGGAUACUAUGAUAUGGUGUUUAGUCUGCUUUAAAUAUUUUUGGCAUGAUGCGUUAGGAAAGUUGUCUGAUAAGAAGGUCGUCUCUAUGUGAAGUGCAGUUUGAUUGCUAGAGGACGAGCAAUGGUUUAAGUAUGGGGUAUUGAUGGUAGGCUAGAAACUUGUGUUUUAGUCAUAGUUUGCACCCUAAUUACUGUAUCUUACUUGUGUUUGAGCUUAAAUAAUGGUGAAUUGCACUUAUUAUGUAUUUUUUUUGUCGUGUAGGUUGUGAUUUCGAACUAAGACAUAUUUUUGGAGAUAAAAUGAAUAAAAGAGAACUUUGAAGUUUGAGAAGAAGUUUAAAAAUUAAAGCCGAAAUUGAGUUCGGGGUUGAGAACCGAGUAUACAUGUGAGAAAUAGAAGAAAAUCGCUAAGAGGACAUAAAAUUGGCGUGUCACUGCGUGGCAGAUGAUGUGAGAACGUUGUGCCUUAGGGGAAACGGCAAGGGGCCAAAUAUACCCCUCUACUUUCGAAAAUGGUGUAAUAAGACCCAUCGUUAUACUAUUGGGUUAUCUAUACCUCUGCAGUCAUACUUUGGGUUCAAAUAUACCCCUCAUUUAAAAGGAGGAACACGUGUCAUCGUCUUGUUGGUCAAUUCUAAAUAUCUCCUAAUUAAUUAAAAAGACCCAUUACCCAUACCCGNAAUAUAUAUANNNNNNNNNNNNNNNNNNNNNNNNNNNNNNNNNNNNNNNNNNNNNNNNNNNNNNNNNNNNNNNNNNNNNNNNNNNNNNNNNNNNNNNNNNNNNNNNNNNNNNNNNNNNNNNNNNNNNNNNNNNNNNNNNNNNNNNNNNNNNNNNNNNNNNNNNNNNNNNNNNNNNNNNNNNNNNNNNNNNNNNNNNNNNNNNNNNNNNNNNNNNNNNNNNNNNNNNNNNNNNNNNNNNNNNNNNNNNNNNNNNNNNNNNNNNNNNNNNNNNNNNNNNNNNNNNNNNNNNNNNNNNNNNNNNNNNNNNNNNNNNNNNNNNNNNNNNNNNNNNNNNNNNNNNNNNNNNNNNNNNNNNNNNNNNNNNNNNNNNNNNNNNNNNNNNNNNNNNNNNNNNNNNNNNNNNNNNNNNNNNNNNNNNNNNNNNNNNNNNNNNNNNNNNNNNNNNNNNNNNNNNNNNNNNNNNNNNNNNNNNNNNNNNNNNNNNNNNNNNNNNNNNNNNNNNNNNNNNNNNNNNNNNNNNNNNNNNNNNNNNNNNNNNNNNNNNNNNNNNNNNNNNNNNNNNNNNNNNNNNNNNNNNNNNNNNNNNNNNNNNNNNNNNNNNNNNNNNNNNNNNNNNNNNNNNNNNNNNNNNNNNNNNNNNNNNNNNNNNNNNNNNNNNNNNNNNNNNNNNNNNNNNNNNNNNNNNNNNNNNNNNNNNNNNNNNNNNNNNNNNNNNNNNNNNNNNNNNNNNNNNNNNNNNNNNNNNNNNNNNNNNNNNNNNNNNNNNNNNNNNNNNNNNNNNNNNNNNNNNNNNNNNNNNNNNNNNNNNNNNNNNNNNNNNNNNNNNNNNNNNNNNNNNNNNNNNNNNNNNNNNNNNNNNNNNNNNNNNNNNNNNNNNNNNNNNNNNNNNNNNNNNNNNNNNNNNNNNNNNNNNNNNNNNNNUUUUUGUAAAAACUGAAAAAAAAAAUAUUUUCGUUUUUUUCAGUUUUUAGUAAAAACGUUUUUAGUUUUUUUCAGUUUUUACAAAAAAAAAAUAUAUAUAUUUUUCGGGUAUGGGUAAUGGAUCUUUUUAAUUAAUUAUGAGAUAUUUAGAAUUGGCCAACGGGACGAUGACAUGUGUCCCUCCGUUUAAAUAGGGGAUAUAUUUGAACCCAAAGUAUGACUGAAGGAGUAUAAAUAACCCAAUAGUAUAUGAGGGAUAUUUUUAUACUAUUUUCGAAAAUAGAAGGGUAUAUUUGGCCUUUGUCGUACAGGAAAAUGUAAUUGAGUUGCAUUUUGCCAACUCUGUAAAUUGUUGGCUUAAUUUGUCAUGAUGAUGUCGUCCAUCAUUGACAUGCUUGGCCAAAGUAUUAGGCAGCCACCAAGAAAACAACGUUUCUGAAGAAUCACACGUCACACGUACGCGUCUGGUUUUUUCGCCCAGUUAUCCCACUUCAGCUCAAAGAGGAUAGUUCGGUCCUAAGAUCAUUCCAAUAUAGUAUAAAUACACUGUAAAUAUAUUUCGAAAAAAGGUCUGAUUUGUCCCUCUAUUAUUAUAAAUACGCCUUAUUUAUCUUUCUUUAAUUUUUCUAUCAAAAAUAUCCCUACAGUUAUAUAUUAGGUUCAUAUUUACCCUUAUACGUUAAAAUAGGUUACAUUUAUUCUUCGUUAUACUUUAAGAUCAUAUUUACCCCUCUACUCUUCAAAAAGGGUUACAUUUGCCCUUCGUUAUAGUUUCUUGACAUAUUUAUCCUUACAAUUAUACCCUACAUUUACCCUCAUCCGGUAGAUCGUCAUGUCCCACCUUUGUUUUCCUACAUGGCGCCUAUGUGGAUUUCUUUUUCUUCCAAUUUAAAUAUGGUCACCUAUUUAAGAUAAUUUAACCCGCCCACCCAAUUUAAAUAAGACACACAAANNNNNNNNNNNNNNNNNNNNNNNNNNNNNNNNNNNNNNNNNNNNNNNNNNNNNNNNNNNNNNNNNNNNNNNNNNNNNNNNNNNNNNNNNNNNNNNNNNNNNNNNNNNNNNNNNNNNNNNNNNNNNNNNNNNNNNNNNNNNNNNNNNNNNNNNNNNNNNNNNNNNNNNNNNNNNNNNNNNNNNNNNNNNNNNNNNNNNNNNNNNNNNNNNNNNNNNNNNNNNNNNNNNNNNNNNNNNNNNNNNNNNNNNNNNNNNNNNNNNNNNNNNNNNNNNNNNNNNNNNNNNNNNNNNNNNNNNNNNNNNNNNNNNNNNNNNNNNNNNNNNNNNNNNNNNNNNNNNNNNNNNNNNNNNNNNNNNNNNNNNNNNNNNNNNNNNNNNNGAAAAUUUUGGACAGUGAGUGAACGAAACUCUAGUGUUAUCUCUAAUUGAUUUAUUUAAUUAUUUCACCUUUGUCUUUGGGUGGGCGGGUUAAAUUAUCUUAAAUAGGUGACCAUAUUUAAAUUGGAAGAAAAAAAAAUUCACAUUGGCGCCAUGUAGGAAAACAAAGGUGGGACAUGGCGAUCUACCGGAUGAGGGUAAAUGUAGGGUAUAAUUGUAAGGAUAAAUAUGUCAAGAAAGUAUAACGAAGGGCAAAUGUAACCAAGUAUAACGAAGGGCAAAUGUAACCCAUUUUAACGCGUAAGGGUAAAUAUGAACCUAAUGUAUAACUGUAGGGAUAUUUUUUAUAGAAAAAUUAAACAGAGGGUAAAUAAGAUCUAUUUAUGAUAGUAGAGGGGCAAAUCAGACCCUUAUCCGAACAUAUUUUUGAAGGGACUUUUGAUAUAUGGGAGAUUUGAGAAGUAAUCAAGGCAAAAAGACAGAAGAAUUCAUAGAGAUUUCAACCUACAAUCGGUGCAAUACGAGAGUUUGUAUCAAAUCAUUAGUAUUGAUGUCUUGUUUUAUAACCUUAUUGAGAUAACUUAUUCCAUAGAUAUGGAGCAAAUUCCAUUAGGGUGUUGACAUAUACGAUAAUUUGUUAACUUGAUUAGGGAUUCGAUUCUUGAUAAUUAUUAGAAAUAAUUGAUGGAGUUUUAAUUCGUAUUGUGGAGUUAUUUCUUAUUUUGCUUAAUUGAAAGAGGAGUAUUAUGCUUUAGUUUAAAUUCGUGAUUCAAAUAGGUAAUCGAAAGAGCCUCUUGAAUUAUUAAUCGAACUAGAAAAUAGGGAAAUAUUCGUGAGAAGUUACCCUUUAAACCAUAACCAUCAUUUUAUUCUUGCAAUUGUUUACUGUGCAAUUGGAUUAAUUACUGAAAUUAACAUUUAAUAGAAUGAGGAACCUUAAUUUCAAGUGUAAUCUAAUUAUCUGUUGAAUUCGUGAGAAUCAAUAUUAUUAUAGAGUGAAUUAACUCAAAAAUUGAAUCCCGAGUCAAUUAUCUUGCACCUAUCUAGUCAAAUACCCUUAUUCCCCUGAGUGAUAUUUCUUCGUUGUUCAUCUGCUGUCUUUUGUGAUCAAUUGUUAAUUGCUUAAUUUUUAGUAGUUAAUCGUAGUAAUAGUAAUCAAAUCAAGUGUUAAUUUUCCUGGAUAGUAAUCAACUGAAGAUUAUUCGAACACUGUCUAAAUCCAAUCCAUGUGGAGACGAUAAUUAAACUAUACUAUCUUUGACUAGCUAGCAAUAAUUUUGUGUUGUGUUUUGCGCACGUCAGCUCAAAAUUCAUCAAUAUGGUACCCAAGGAUAUAAUAAUUAAAAAGUACGAAUGUGUGCUCAAGAUGUGAAACAUAACUACGACUAAAUCAAUUAUAACAACAAUUCCACAAUAACCCAUCUUGGCUAAUUAGGAAAUAAUAAUCCUAAACAUGAUCUCUAGCAUAAAAGGGCAAGCUCACGUAGUCAUACAACUAAUGAAAUAUGUAUCAUAGAGAGAACACAACUAAAAUAAGGCAUAAUAGGAGGCUAUCUCAGUCAUAAUUCAUAUAUAGCACCCGCAUAUACACUCGUCACCUUGCAUAUUGUUACUUUUCUCAUAUUACAAUUAGACAAAUAAGGUCCAAUCCUAAGGAUUAUUCCCUCACACAAGAUCAGGCAUUAUACUUACCUUAACAAGUCCAAAUCAACUUUCUAAAAUAGCUUUUUUCGUAGAAAUCACCUCCGACCGGCCCCAAUCUAGUAAACAAUAACUCAAAAAUAUCAAACAAGGUCAUAUAAAUCAAUUCACAUAAUUAAGCUUCAACCUAUAAUCAAUUUUCAAAAAGUCAAUCGAGGUCCACAUGAUCAAAACCCAAGUGAAGGGGUAGAUCCCGACUACUCAAUAUCCCACGAGUCCAAAUAUGUGUUUAGAUUCCAAAAUUAAGUCCAAAUUAUAGCUCAAAACCUCAAUUUUCACUCUCUUAAGUUAUAAGGGAAAAAAUCCAAAUUUACGUCAAAAUUUCACAUUUUUGGUGUUAUUAAUCCAUGUACAUUCUUGAGAUAAUAUCAAAAAUAUGUAGAAAUCACUUACCCCAAAGCCAUGUGUAAAAAUCUCCAAGCCAAAAUCGUCUCUCUCCAAGUCUAGGGUGCAAAAUAUGGAAGAAUGAGCUAAAUAUCCAAAAAUAUACCUCUUAAGUGGUCUACCCAACGAUUCCCGCAUUUGCGGAUAGAAGGCUCGCAUAUGCAAGAUCACUUCUGCAACAAAAUAGCCCGCAUAUGCGAGACCCCUCCUUCCAGCCAAGUCUAGUACUUGCGGCAAGGCCACCGCUUCUGUGGAGCUGCAAGUGCGCCGGACAACAGCAGGUCCGCACUUGCUUUCGCGAAGCACCCUCCACAGGGGUGACCUCCCAGCUCUCAGCUAACUCCCACUUCUCGGUCCUGCCUCUGUAGGUACGACAUCGCACCUGCGCUCCAAAACUUCGCAGAUGUGUCUCACCAGUACUAGCAACCCAACAAGCUCCAAAAUGAUGCAGAGUCAAUUUGAAACAAAACCGAGCCCCCCGGACCCCGUCUAAUUGUACCAAUAAGUCCCUAAAUACUACUCGAACCUAUCCAAGGCCUCAAAAUACUUACGAUAAUAUCACAUCAACGAAUUAAAGAUUAAAUCACAAGUUGAACUUUUAUUAAGUUCAAGAACUUCCAAACUUCCAACCAAACAUCUGAUUCAAGUCUAACCAAUCCGGAUUAUAUUCAAACUUUGCACACAAAUUUCGAAUAACAAAACGAACCUAUUUCAAGUUUCGGAACAAAAAUUCGAAUCUGAUAUCAUCAAUGUGAAUUCCCGAUCAAACUUAUGAACUCUCCAAACCUUCAAGUUGUCAACUUUCGGCAAAUAAGCUCAAAAUCUUUGAGAGACCUCCAAAUUUGAAUAUACGCCUAAGUCCAAUAUAAUCACAUGAACCUAUAGGAACCAUCAAAUUUCUGAUCCGAGGUUGUUUACACAAAAGUCAAACCUUGAUCAACUCUAUCAACUUUAGCUUUCAAAAUGAGACUAAAUAUGCAAAUGCACAAUCAAAACUUCUUGAAGUCAAACCAACCAUUCUCGCAAGUUAAAAAAUACUGAACACACAUACGAAAAAAAUCAAAUAGAGGAACGUGGCUCAAAUACAUAAAACGACCGAUCGGACCAUUACAACAUGUGUGUGAAUUAUACUUCGUCACUAAUCACUAGUAGGAAAAAGUGUAGGACCUAUCUCUUAAGAAUUCAUUUUCUUGAGGUCUAGCAUUGCAAUAUCCACAGCUCAAUACUUCAAUGAAUUCCUGCUUUUGUAGCUUUGAAUAGUCUUUUAUAUACCACAAAUUCGCUUGCUCUUUAUCUUUUUCCCAAAGAAUUUAUGUACUUGAAACUACACAGAGCGCAACACAUUUAUAAUUCAUAGUAUAAGAUACGAAAAAGUUGAUCAACCAGUUCAUUAAUUAACUGCUCUUCAAUUCCAUACUAGUUAGAAGUUAGAACCGGCAAUGUAAAUCCUCCAUAUUUAUAUGUUUAGAUUAGUUUUGCAGAACUUAUAUAAGCCAAAAAAAUGUAGUUCAAGAAUAGACCUAUUGACUUCCCAAAUGGUAAAAUCCUUUUUUGAGACUUAUGGAGAAAUAAUAUUAAUAGUAGAUUAAUAUUUUAUUUUUACAUCAUUGUACUGCUAUCAUUUACUUGGUGGAUAUUCUGCUAAUACCUUAAUGUUGAUCACUGGAUUAUAUAUGGAUUUUGUAGAUAUGUCAAUUCAAAUUUUUCCUUCAUUUCUGGUCCCAUUUUGUCCAAAUAUAAAAGCAGAGGCCCCUUGAAAGCUCAACAAACUUAGAUGGGGUUUGGCCAGAAAGUCACUUUAUGCCGCUAUGGUCUCCCUCCCAUUACAUGUACACCCAAUGGACAAGACCUUCUUUUCAACAUUAUUUGCUCACACUUCCCCAAAAUAUAACCUGCUAUAAAAAUCAAUGUUAUGUAAAAUGACAUUAUAUAACAUUUAUAUUAUCAGAUUAAAUUAUUUAUAAUAUCAUCAAGAAAUAAACUAAAUAACAUGAUAUAACAUAUCAGCUUACACUAAAAAAAAUUAUACUCUCAAUAGAUAUAACCAAACCAAUAAUAUAAAGAUUUUAAUACGUGUUGUGAAAAUUAUAAUUAAUUUUGAUCCAAACUUUAUUAUUACAAAAUAAUAAACCCAUAUUAUUUUUGGAAACUAAUGGGAUAAAAUUUUAACUAAUUGAUUUAUUUUCCAAUCUUUUUAUUCUCUCUUUCCAUUUUUGUGCACCNNNNNNNNNNNNNNNNNNNNNNNNNNNNNNNNNNNNNNNNNNNNNNNNNNNNNNNNNNNNNNNNNNNNNNNNNNNNNNNNNNNNNNNNNNNNNNNNNNNNNNNNNNNNNNNNNNNNNNNNNNNNNNNNNNNNNNNNNNNNNNNNNNNNNNNNNNNNNNNNNNNNNNNNNNNNNNNNNNNNNNNNNNNNNNNNNNNNNNNNNNNNNNNNNNNNNNNNNNNNNNNNNNNNNNNNNNNNNNNNNNNNNNNNNNNNNNNNNNNNNNNNNNNNNNNNNNNNNNNNNNNNNNNNNNNNNNNNNNNNNNNNNNNNNNNNNNNNNNNNNNNNNNNNNNNNNNNNNNNNNNNNNNNNNNNNNNNNNNNNNNNNNNNNNNNNNNNNNNNNNNNNNNNNNNNNNNNNNNNNNNNNNNNNNNNNNNNNNNNNNNNNNNNNNNNNNNNNNNNNNNNNNNNNNNNNNNNNNNNNNNNNNNNNNNNNNNNNNNNNNNNNNNNNNNNNNNNNNNNNNNNNNNNNNNNNNNNNNNNNNNNNNNNNNNNNNNNNNNNNNNNNNNNNNNNNNNNNNNNNNNNNNNNNNNNNNNNNNNNNNNNNNNNNNNNNNNNNNNNNNNNNNNNNNNNNNNNNNNNNNNNNNNNNNNNNNNNNNNNNNNNNNNNNNNNNNNNNNNNNNNNNNNNNNNNNNNNNNNNNNNNNNNNNNNNNNNNNNNNNNNNNNNNNNNNNNNNNNNNNNNNNNNNNNNNNNNNNNNNNNNNNNNNNNNNNNNNNNNNNNNNNNNNNNNNNNNNNNNNNNNNNNNNNNNNNNNNNNNNNNNNNNNNNNNNNNNNNNNNNNNNNNNNNNNNNNNNNNNNNNNNNNNNNNNNNNNNNNNNNNNNNNNNNNNNNNNNNNNNNNNNNNNNNNNNNNNNNNNNNNNNNNNNNNNNNNNNNNNNNNNNNNNNNNNNNNNNNNNNNNNNNNNNNNNNNNNNNNNNNNNNNNNNNNNNNNNNNNNNNNNNNNNNNNNNNNNNNNNNNNNNNNNNNNNNNNNNNNNNNNNNNNNNNNNNNNNNNNNNNNNNNNNNNNNNNNNNNNNNNNNNNNNNNNNNNNNNNNNNNNNNNNNNNNNNNNNNNNNNNNNNNNNNNNNNNNNNNNNNNNNNNNNNNNNNNNNNNNNNNNNNNNNNNNNNNNNNNNNNNNNNNNNNNNNNNNNNNNNNNNNNNNNNNNNNNNNNNNNNNNNNNNNNNNNNNNNNNNNNNNNNNNNNNNNNNNNNNNNNNNNNNNNNNNNNNNNNNNNNNNNNNNNNNNNNNNNNNNNNNNNNNNNNNNNNNNNNNNNNNNNNNNNNNNNNNNNNNNNNNNNNNNNNNNNNNNNNNNNNNNNNNNNNNNNNNNNNNNNNNNNNNNACAUCCUUUCUUGUAUAUUUUUUCUAGGUGAUAGUAAAUGUACUUUAUAUAGUUGGUUUAUAUAGUUGGUGAAUAAUGGGUGCAUUAUCUGUACAAAUUAUGAGGGCAUCAGAAUUACGUAUGUAUCCAUCUCAUCUCAUCUAGGUUUAUGAAGAAUUUGAAAUUUUAUAUAGUUAAAGAUUUUAGAAAUAAAAUUAUACAUAUUUAAAUUAGUUACAUACUCGUUAUAAUAUACUUCAUCAUAUUUAUAAAUAGCAAAAGUAUAACACAAAGUUUACGCUAUUAAAAAAGCGAUGAUGAAAGUGAAUAAUCCCAUUUAGCUAAUAGGAAUACAUAUGGAUGAUUCAAUAACAAUGAAAAAUUUCCAACAGCCAACAGCAAUGGGGUUGUGAACAGUUGAUUGUUCUGAAUUAAAUUAUUAAAUUGACCCUUAGCUAAUAGGAAUACCCAUAAUUAUUCUACAACUACUUAUAGAGACCAAUGGCAAAAGCUAUUGUUAUUUUGUGACUUGAAUUAUUUCUUUGUAUUUUUAGGUAAUUCAUAAUCCCUAUAAGUUUAGAAAAACCCAUUGUCCUAAUAGAUUUGGGAAAGAAAAACUUAUAGUCCUUGUCAAAUUAGGAAACCUUUCUCUUAUAGGUUUGAGACUAUUUAGGAUCUGUAUAUAGGGGUUGUAGUUGGGGAUUUUAGAUUGUAUUAUGUUUUUCUUCUCAUUCAUAGUGAAAAACUCUCUCUGCUUCUGCCUCGAGGAUUAGGCUUAGCCGAACCUCGUUAAAUCCUUGUGUUGAUUUUUCUUCUCUAUUUGUUUUGUGUGUGAUUGUGUGCUAGUUAACCCACGAUCUUUCGCAAUAAUUGGUAUCAUAGCAAGGUUCGGAUUUCUAUAUAUAAUCUAGGAUUAAGAUGUCUUCAUCAUCUUCAACAAAGUACGAAGUAGAGAAAUUUGGCGGGGGUUCUAGUUUCAGUCUAUGGAAGAUUAGGAUGAAAUCGUCCCUGGUGUUACAAGCGUUAUAGAAUGCAAUUAAUGAGGAUUUUCAUGAAGAGAUGAAAGAGACAGAGAAGGCUGACCUGAAGAAGAGGGCUUUGAGUGCGAUCUUCAUGAGUAUUACAGAUAGCGUUCUUCAGAAAAUUGCUGAAGAAACUUCUGCAGCAAUGGCAUGGAAGAAGCUGGAAGAUCUGUAUUAUAAGAAAUCGCUGACAAACUGCCUCUACCUGAAAAAGAGGUUAUACAAUCUCCAUAUGAAUGAAGGUACACCUGUUAAAACUUACAUUGAUGAGUUUAAUUCAAUUAUAAUGGACCUCAAGAACGUGAAUAACAAAAUUGAUAGUGAGGAUUAGGCCGUGAUUGUGUUAUAUUCUUUACCACCAUCUUAUGAUACUUUUGCUUAUACACUGCUAUAUGGAAAAGACAAUAUUUUACUGGAAGAUGUUAGUAAUACACUAAAAUCUAAAGAGUUGAAAAAGAGCUUUCCAGACAGCAGAAUUGAGGGCGAGAGUCUUGUAAUUAGAGGAAGAACACAACAAAAGUCUAGAGCAAGGAUGCAAAACUGUUAUGAGUGCAGGGAGCAAGGUCACUAGAUGAGAGAUUGUCCCAAGCUGAAGGAGAAAAUAGGGAAGCAGAAAAUAGAUAAUUCGGCAAACAUUGUUGACACUAGCAGUAAUUCUAAUGAUAGUGAUUAUGUAGGGGAAGUAUGUGUUGUGAGUUUUAGUCAUGGGUAGAAUUCUUGUGUUCUUGAUUCUAGUGCUACUUUUUACAUGUGUUCACACAAGAAUUAAUUUGUAACUUACAAGCAAAUAAGUGGGAUUGUCUACAUGGGAGAUGAUAAUCCAUUACCAGUAGAGGGGAUUGGUAACAUCAAAUUGAGAAUGUUUGAUGGAAUUAUCAGAAACAUUGAGUGUUGGCAUGUUCCUCGGAUAAAGAGAAAUUUGAUUUCUCUUUCGACUUUGGAUGAUCAAGGGUAUAAAUUUCACUCCGAGAAUGGAAUACUUAAAGUGUGUAAAGGCUCCAUGGUACUCAUGAAGGGUAAAUAACAUUCUAAAUUGUAUCAUCUUCAGGCCAGUGUAGUUGAAGAGGAAGCUGUUGUAGCUUUUGGGAAAAGUGAUCUGAAUCAGUCUCAGUUAUGGCACUUGCGACCUGGUCAUAAGUGUGAUAAGGGAUUGUCUUUGUUGAGUAAGAAGAAUUUGUUGAAUGGGUACAAAAAUCAAGUUUUGAAUUUUGUAAGCAUUGUUUGUUUGGUAAACAGACAAGGGUAAAGUUCAGCAAGAAGGCCGAGCACAAGACCAGAGACAAGUCAGAUUAUAUACAUUCAGACUUGUGGGACCCAAACAAAGUUCCCUCCAAGAGUGGUGCUAUGUAUUUUAUGACUUUGAUUGAUGAUUACUCAAGGAUGGUGUGGGUGCAUUUUUUGAAAACAAAAGAUGAGGCAUUUCCGACAUUUGUUAAAUGGAAGACGAUGGUUGAGAGGCAGACGAAAGAAAAGUUGAGCGUCUUCAAACUGACAAUGGGUUGGAAUUUUGCAAUUCUGAGUUCGAUAAUUUCUGCAACAUAGAGGGCAUAGUGAGAUACUGCACUUGUGUUGGAACACCACAACAUAAUGGUAUUGCAGAACGUAUGAAUAGAACGCUUUAUGAUAGGGCACGAACCAUGCUUUCACACCUAUGUGUUAGCAAGGAUUUUUGGGUUGAAGCAAUCAAUAUAGCUUUUUAUUUGGUACAGAUCUCCAUCCACAGCUAUUGAGUUCAAAACUCCUUUUGAGGCAUGGUCCGGUUCGCCUGCUGAUUAUUCAAAUUUAAGGAUAUUUAGUUGUCUUGCUUAUGCUCAUGUGAGGGAUGGAAACUUGAGCCGAGGGCAAAGAAGUACAUAUUUUUAGGGUAUGCAACUUGAGCGAAAGGUUAUAGGUUGUGGUGCACAGAUCAAAAGAAUUCAGGGCUAAUUAUUAGUAGGGAUGUAACAUUCAAUGAAUCUGUCUCACUGGACAGUCAGAGGGAGAAGGCAAUAGCAGAAACAGAUCGUGGUGUCAGUGACCUCAUAGAGCUAGAAAUUGAAUCUCCACUAGCUCAGCCCAGUAGUUCUAAUAUAGAGGAAGUGGAGAAGGUGCAAAAUAUUGAUCAAGAUGAUAAUGUUGAUGCACCUGCGCAAUAACAACCAUAUACCAUUGCAACAUGCAGAGAGAAGAGAGUGAUCAACCGACCGCAAAGGUUUGCAAACGUAAUUGAUGGGAAUCUUCUUGGAUAUACAAAUCCUGUGGGAUUUGCUUUGGCAGUUGCAGAGACCGUUGAUGCAUUUGAGUGUUAUAGCUAUCCAGAAGCUAUUCCGGGUAUAGAACCAAAUCGACGGAUUAGUGUUAUGGCUAAAGAGAUUGGGUCUCUUAACAAGUUUAGGCGUUGCCUAGACUUGGUUGAUGUGUGCGGCAAUGGGUAGAUCCCUAGCGAGUGCCAAUGGCAAGGUAGAGAGACGUUGUUCCUGUUGAUGAAGAGAAUUCAAGCCAAGGGGAAGAUUUGUUAUUUUGUGGCUUGAAUUAUUUCUUUGUAUUUUUAGGUAAUUCAUAAUCCCUAUAAGUUUAGAAAAACCCAUUGUCCUAAUAGAUUUGGGAAAGGAAAACUUAUAGUCCUUGUCAAAUUGGGAAACCUUUCUCUUAUAGGUUUGGGACUAUUUGGGAUCUAUAUAUAAGGGUUGUAGUUGGAAAUUUUAUAGAUUGUAUUGUGCUUUUCUUCUCAUUCAUAGUGGAAAACUCUCUCUGCUUUUGUCCCGAGGAUAAGGCUUAGCUGAAUCUCGUUAAAUCUUUGUGUUGAUUUUUCUUCUCUAUUUACUCUGUGUGUGAUUGUGUGAUAGUUAACCCAUAAUCUUUCGCAACAGCUAUAAAUAAACAAUCUUGUAAUACUCUAAGCUACAAUAGCCACAGUGGUGUCUCUCUUGAGGCCAUGCAAGAAAACCUUCUGUUUUUUGCAUCAAUCAACUAAGCUUCGAUUAUAUAUAUAUAUGAAUGCAAUCAGUUCCAAGUAAGAGAUUGUUUUUAGAUGGUUAAAUGUUUAUCUCUCUCUCGUCCAAUUGACGACUUUUAAAGAUUGUUGAAUCUUUACUUCUUUAACAACAUCAAUGUUUGAAUUUUGUCAUUGCCUUUUCUUUAAGGUGAAAUUAAAUCUUUUUUAGAAUAAAAUAAAUCUUCAUUCAAAGGUAAAAAAUUCCGCUACAGCUUAUGAAAUGAACAUGUUAAUCUUAUGAUCUUCCUUGUUCUUCUGUUGACUGUAUCUAAAUAAGGAAAACUAUUAAUUUAGUGACAAUUAUUGGACCAUUUUUUUUAAAAUUAAACGAGUUCCCAAGAUAACCAAAUCGCAAAAUAUACACGUCUAAUUUACGAUUUUGAGAAAAUAACUACACUGUAAUAAAAAAUUAAGCUCUAAUACACAUUGGUGUGUGUUUCUCAGUCAACAAAAAACAAUGUAAAAGAAUAUAAUGCAACGCACCUAGACUGUUUUUCCCUUGAAAACUAGUAGUCAACAAAUUUCAUGUUAUCUAACUAGUACUAGUUCUUUGGAAGCUAGAUAACAAGAGGAGAAAAUUGAUCGAUAACUACAUCAACCUAACACUUGUCGAAAUUCAGUCAGGUGGGAAAAAUCAAAUACCUAGAAAAAUCUCUUUUUUUUGUUUUAUUUAUUUAUUUUUCUUUUCCUUUUUGCUAGUAUUGUAUUCUUUCAUAUAUUUUUUUUUAUUUUCUUAUUCGGUAUCCGAUACCCGCAUUGGAACCUGACUAUAUACGGAUUCGCGUUGCGUAGGGUCCUAUUUGGGGAGGAGGGGGGAGGGCGCUCCCUACCAAGGAUUUUUCCAUACUCAUGGCUCAAACCCGAGACCUCUGGUUAAGGGAAGAGCAGCCCCAUCCGCUGCAUCACAUCCUUUGGUGGUUAUUCUUCCAUAUUCUCGAGCUGCUAUAAAAAAAAUAAAAAUAAAAAGAAGAAGAAAAAGGGGGGAUUUUAAUUUUUAAGACACUUCAAAACUUAUAUCAAUUUUUAAGACAAAAGUAUUAAGAAUGGGGUUGAAGGGACACUUUUGUAAUUAGUGUUAAUGAUAUAAUUUAUAAAAACUCCAACGUUUUCUUAUUUACAAAAACGUCCCCCUCCUCCUCCACCCCUAUUCCUCCUCCCACUCCUCUCCUCCUCCUCUUCCUCUUCCUCCUCCUCCCGCCACUCAUCCUCCUCCCAUUGUUCCUUCAUAUUGCAAUGCUCCUCUCUAUCCUCCCCUUGCUCCUCCAUCUCGCAACGCUCCUCUCUAUCCUCUGUCACUCCUAAUCCUCAAACACUUAGGAAGAUAUUUCAAAUAUCUAGAGAAAUAUUUGAAAUAUCCGUGGAAAAAAGAUCAAAUAUCAAAAAGAAAGAAGCAAAAGAAAUAUCCCGAAUGAUGUUUUGCAUAAUAUUCAUUUAUGAGAAUGUCUUAAAAUAUCUCGAGGGCAUUUUGCAGAAUACUCACUAUGUAAAAUUUCAUAUUUUUCUCUUAAACUCAUAUAUUUGAAACCACUGGAAGAAAAGAAAAAAUGAAAGAAGAAGAAGAAGAAGAAGAAGAAGAAGAAGAAGAAGAAGAAGAUAAAAAUGAGAUGAAGAGGGAAAGAAGAAAAAGACAAGGAAGAAAAUGAAGAAGAAGAAGAUGAUGAUGAUGAUGACAUAGACGAACCAUCAGGAGCAACAACGAAAGUUGAAGAGAAAGAAGAAAGUAAGGAAGAAGAAUGAGAGAAUGAGGAAGAGAAAGAAGAAAGAAGGAAGAAAGAGAAGAAGAAGUAAAGAGGAGAAAGAAGAGGGAAAUGAAAAUUUGAAAUAAUUUGAAUGGGUAUGGUUUUUUUAAAAUUUUUAAAAAUUUUAAUAUUUACCCACAACUUUUAUUAUUUUUAAUAUCACCCCCGAACCCCUUUAAUCACACAUUUUUUGUUAACCAAAAAAUGUGUCCUAAAUUGUUACAUAAAACUUCAAAAGUCUUUUUUACCCGGAGGUUAUAUUUAGAAUUUUUUUUUUCAAAAGGGAACAAAAUAGAAAAGGAGGCCACCGCAAAGAAUAUACAGUGAAAUUAUUGCAAAAUUUUUGCAAAUAAGUUAACAAUUAAAAGAUGAGGAAAAUAUUGUGAGUUAUUGGUCCCACUACAUUUAAAGAUACAAGGCCCAAAAGCCAAAAAGAGAAUUAUUUAUAGUCAAUUUUUAUAUUUUAUAGCAAAAUAAAGAUAUAUACAACUUAUUCCUCAACUUUUCCUCAGCCCUCUCUUCUCCCUCAAUUCUCUUUCUUUUUUCCCUCUCUCUUCGAUAAGGCCACCAUCUUCUCCGGUGACUCACCGCCAUGGUUAGAUCUGUUCAAAUUUCCGGCGACUCUGCUUCAGAUGUCCAAAAUCUCAAUCUGUAAUCAUGGCCAAAUCUCCCAAAAGAAUGAAAGAAGCAAAGUUGUUGCUUUAUAUCCAAUUGAUUGAUAUAAUAUUCAUUCUCACUGAACUCUUUUCUUUCUUUACCCCUACCUUCAGCUAUCCUCCUAAUCUCCCAAAAACAAAAUUCUCUCUUCAAUAUUACCAGUAGCUUUUAUGUAUUAUUGUUAUUAUUUUAAUUCUAUUCAAAAAAAUUGAUGCCACCUAUUGUGUAUGAAAUGCGUGAAUAGUUCUUCUACACACUUCUACUUCACUGGAAUUCUAUUUCGAUAAGAUAAGAUUAAAUUAUUUUUCACUAAUAUCUUAGUCUGAAGUGCAUUCGGAGUAUGAUUUAUUUGUUAUUUGAAUAUAGUCGAAUUGAAUACGGUGAAUUGAAUACAAUAUAAAAUAGUUAAGAAAGAAUAUAAGUUAAUUGAAUACAGUGUAUACAGCCGAAUCGAAUAGAGCUGUAUAUACAGUAUUUUUUGUUUUUUUAUGUUUGAAUACAACUGAAUUCAAUAUAGUGAAAUUGAAUAUAAUGUAAAAUAUAUAAGAACGAAUACAUCCGAAUUAAUAUACAGUGUAUACAAUCGAAUUGAUACACGCUAAUUUAUUGCGCUUUCCGUUAUUAAACAGUUGUAAUCCCUAUUUUUUAGGCAGAUUACCUCACUGUAUUUAUAAAUACAGUCACACGAAUAUAUGAAAUAUAGAAUUAAAUAGAUGUAAUCCCUAUUUUUAGGCGGAUUACUGAUCCACACCCAAUCCACACUCAAUAGUGAGUAGAAACGAUCGUUGGAAGAAUAGUACCCAACUAUAGUCGGGGUUGAUUUUCGCAGAGAGUUUAAUGUGGGUGUUAGAGUGUACACUUGAUGAGAAUAAAUUAAAUGAUCUUAAUUGCGCUUCCAAACAAGAGAUUUUAUUUUCUACUUCUAAAAAUUAACACUAGCAAUGAUCAACUAAAGGGAAGAGACUAGAAGACUAGUAAUUGUUUUUGUUGUUUUUAUCAAAUAGAUAAAAGGCCUAGGGAUAUAACCUUCACCUAGGUGUUAACCUAAUGAGUAAAUCACGUCAAUGCUUGUUUUAGUGAUCGGGGUGUAUAAUAACUCUCAACUUUACAUUACACACUCAAUACCUCUCGGUAAUAGAGUGAUUUUGCCCAAAUUUACUUUCUCAAGCCCAAUUGGGUAUCAAUUUAAAUAGUUGAUAUGAAAUCAAGUCGGGUUUUCCAAACCCUUCAAUUAGGCUAGCCAAAAACCUUAACUAGCCCAAUUUCUAGUUAGCCAAGUUUUCCUAGACUAAGUCCCACUUUCUCAAGUAAGAACCAAGUCAAAUAAGCAUGAAUCAAUGUUUGCAACCAUUAAUUCUAGAAAUAAUGUGUGAACAAGGCUAAAUAAUAAACAUCCAAUCAUAAAUAAGCAUUAGAUUAAUCACCCAUAAGGUUUACACACUAGGGUUGGGUCACAACCCUAGAGAAAAUCUAGCUACUCAUGAUAGAAAUUAAAAACAAUAAAGAAAAAGAACUAAUUAAAGCCAUUAAAUUAAAUUAAAUUGAAAAAACUAAUAUUUCUUCACCCAAAAUGUCACAAAUUACCCACAGUGGUAAAGUAUAAUGGCUACAACAUUACAAACUAAAAAACAUGACCUAAAAAGUAUUUUUUUCGUUUAUUUAUAGUGGCCCAAAAUUCGCUGAUAAAAAUGCCCUACAGGAGGUUCUGCGGCCGCACACUCCCAUAUGCGAUCCGCACUUUUCUUAGCUCUGCAGGUGGAGGAUUUCUGCAGCCGCACAAUUCUGUCUAUGGUUGUAAUUCAGCUUCUGCGGCCGCACUUUUCCUUCUGCGGCUGUACUUCAGCUUCUGCGGUCAUACUUUUCCUUCUACGACUGCACUUUUUGCAAGGCUUCACACUUGGUCGUUUUGCACACUCUCUGAACUUUUUGAAUUCUUGUUAGUGCGACCAUAUUUUGUGGCCGUACAAAUAGUCUGCGGUCCGCAGUUUUCCAAUCCUCGUCUAAGCUCCAGGUACUAGAUCUGCGGCUGUAGAAGUAAUUUUGCGGUCCGCACUUUCUUCUGCGGCCGCAAAAUUCCUUCUGCAGACCGCACUUUUGGCCUGCCGCAUUCCUUCUUGCUUUAUGUGCUGAAAUACUCCUUUUUGAGUUAGAUUUCUUCGUUGAGUCCAAUUAUUUAAUAUUCCUGUAAUUUGCUCAAUUUUAUUAGUUUUGGAAAAAAUCAACACUUUCGCACUAAAACUAAAGCAAGAAAAUACUAAUAAGUGGUUAAAAUUCACACUUAUCAAUUACCUCACUGUAUUUAUAAAUACAGUCGCGAGAAUACAUAAAAUACAGAAUUAAACAGAUGUAAUCCCUAUUUUUUAGGCGAAUUACCUCACUGUAUUUAUAAAUACAGUCAUGCGAAUUCAUGGAAUACAGCACAAUAGCAAUAAAUUUGUAGCUAUGACCAGUAAAUAUGGAUAUUGUAGCUAUAGCACGUUAAUAGCCACUUAAUUAUAGUGAUUUCUGAAAAUCAUCUUAAAGAUUCAGGGAAAUUAAGUCAUUUUUUUAUACAGUAGGCCUAAAUAAGAAAAUAAAUAUUUAUUUUGGUCCAACCCUCAACUUAUAAUCUGGUUUAGUCAAAUUGUUUUUUCAAUUGGCUAUCUUCACUUGAGCUCUAGGUUUCUUCAACUUUCUUCAUGCUUUCAUUCAAAAUUCAAUUCAAACUCGAUGAACGACCAUCAAAUCACAUGAAAAUUUAGCCACAAGUUCCUUACAUUAAUUUAAACAGUCACAUUAAUUCUAACUCAAAAUCAACAAAUCUGUUUUCAAAAAAUUUCAAGCUUCCAGAAACUCUUAAUGGAGAUUUUUGGGUUUCUUUCUCCAAACCAAUGAAACAACAAUAUAACCUGAGAAUUAAUUAGCUUAAAUAAGGGAUUAUACAAAUAAUUUUAAUCAAAGUCUCACCAAUAAAUUUCAGGUCCGAAAAAUGCUAGCUCAAACGGACAACCAUUGAAACUCGCUUAAGCUUUAGUUCGAAAAUUUAGAUUUUCAUAACCAAAGUUUAUUUAGAGAGAGUGUUGUUAUAAUAAAUUGUGUACUUCUUAAGGAGUUUGAAUCACAAUUUUAAAACGCUUUGUCGGAGAUUUAAGAUGAUAUGCUUUAAAAUUGAGCUACGCUUCGAAGGAAGAAGAUAAAGUUUCUGUCAUAUAUUAUUAAAUUGUCACGACCCGGAAUUUUCACCUUUGGGACCUUGAUGGCGCCUAACAUUUCACUUGCUAGGCAAGCCAACAUUCGUUAUAUUUAUUAACCAGUUUUAACAAUUCAAAUCAAAUGAUAAUAAUAACAACCGAAUAGUCUAAAAUAAAGUAAUAAACAACUAUAUGACGUAAUCCAAAUACAAUCCCAGAAACUGGAGUCACGAAUAGAUGAGUGUCUAGAGUACUACAGAUAAUAGUCUGAAUAAAACACUACUGUUUGAAUCAAAAUAAACAACAAUGAUGACAUAGAAGGUGAGUUCAGGGUUGCGGACGUCGUGCAACUAUACCUCAAGUCUCCACAGUUAGCUAGAUCCGGGCAAUCUCAAUCAACGUUGCUGGGACCCACUCCGGUAUCUGCCCAUAGUAUGAGUAUAACCGAUCACAUGUACUUUGUAAGUGUCGAGCAUAACCUCGAUAAAAUAAUGGUGAGACUAAGGCGGGUCACUUACAAUAACAUGUACGCAACAAUAAUAAUAGCGAAAAAAUAGAAAAUGAAAGUAAAGCAGUUAACUCAUGAGAACGAACUCGAAAUUUAACUACUAGAGAGCCCAGAAUAACAAAUUUCAUAGUCUCAUAUCACAAUACCGAGGCAAUUCUAACAAUCACAAACAAGUACCACAUAUACAAUCCGUUGCGGCGUGCAACUCAAUCCCACCAUAUCAUCAUCUGACAAUAUUAUAAUAUGUCCUUAUUCCACCAUUUCAAUUUUCAUUGCGGUGUGCAACCCGCUCUCCAAACAAUUUCAAUCAAUAUAAAUAAUUCAAUAACUAAAUUUACAAGAAUUUCUACAUCAAGACGGUAAAUAUACAAGGCAAUAAAGAACAACAUAAUAAUCAAAGAAUCUCUAACAACUCAAAGUCUCAACUUUACCAAUUCAUCGGUAUUUAUCAACUAAACAACUCACGCAAGUGAAAUCACAUUAUAGAAUGCAACAGAUAAUACAAAAUAAUAAAACAAGUAAAGCAUGUGACAAUUUAAGUAUGCAAGUAAAGCAAGUAGAGGCAAGUAGCAAAUAAGCAUGGAGUAAUGGAAGGGACGGACAAUUUAAUGCAAGAAUAAUUAAAUGAUAAGUAACAAUUAUGGCAUAGAUGUCAAAUAUAGAAUGUAAUAAUUAAGGCAUGAAUCAAGAUAUAUAAUGAAAUAAACGAAAACAUGGAGACAAAUAUCAUGACGGCAUAUAUACACUCGUCACCUCACAUAUACGUCGCUUUCCCACAAAAUUCACAUAAUAAAUAGUUCAAAGAUUCCCAAUUCCCUUAAGUUAAGAUUAGACCUAAUACUUACCUCAUUCCGCGAAUCAAAGCAAUCAACCAACCACGACCUUGCCUUUCGAACGAGCCUCCAAACCAACCAAAUCUAGCAAAUUAUCGAUCAAACGUUUCAAAAUAACCUUUAGAAAUUACUCAUUAAUGAAAGAGGUUCAAUUAGAUCAUUUUAGAAAAAGUAAAUAAAAGUCAAUCCAGGACCCGCUUAGUCAAAACCCUAGGUUAAGAUCAAAACCCGAUUACUCAUUCACCCCCGAGCCCGGUUAUGUGAUUUGUUUAAAAAUUCGACCUCAAUUUGAGGCUUAAAUCUCAAUUUUAUAAAAAUUCUCAAUUUCUAUCCAAAUCCGUAAUUUCUACCAUGGAAAUCCUAAAUUUGAUAUUGAUAUCUCAUGAAAAGUAAGGGAUAAUUAAAAAAAAUGGAUUAAAGUCACUUACCAAUGAAUUUGGGAAGAAACAUCUAUUCGAAAAUCGCCUCUAGAGUGUUUAGAGUUGAAAAUGGUGUAAAAUGAGCUUAGUCCCAAUUUUUUCUCUUUUACCCAGCUGCAGAUGUCGCAAUUGCAAAGUCAUGUUCGCAAUUGCAAACAUUGCAAAUGCGAGACAAGGAUCGCAAAUGCGAACCUUGCCUCAAAAGCCCAGAAGUCACAAUUGCAACAAACAGUUCGCAAUUGAGGAAAGACCCACCUUCGCAAUCACGGACAAUGCCUUCGCAAUUGCGAAGAUCACCCAAAAAUACACUGAGUCGCAAAUGCAACUCAGGGAUCGCAAAUACGACCACUGAUAGUUCGCAAAUGUGAACAAGUUCCUCGCAAUUGAGAGAUUAGCCCAACCCAGCCCAUGCUCGCAAAUGUGAGCUAUUGUUCGCAAAAGAUUCACAAAUGCGAGAUCUGCAACAGAGCACUAGAGCUGGAAAGACCCCAGCUAUCUUUGCAGUAUCCAAACUCAUCCGAAACAUGUCUGAAACUCACUCGAGCCCCUCGAUCUCCAAACCAGACAUGCACACAAGUGCAAUAAUAUCAUAAGAACUUGCUCGCAUGAUCAAAUCACCAAAAUAAGAUUUACAUAUACAAAUCGAACCUCAAAAUGAAUGAGAUUUCAAAGGGAACUUAAGAACAACUAGAAUCACGUAUAAGCGUCUCAAUCAUGUCAAACCAAUUCCGAAUUGCACCAAAUUUUGCAGAAAAGUUUCAAAUAGUAAUAUGGACCUAUUCCAAGUUUCAACAUUAAAAUACGAACCUGAUAGCCAUGAAGUCAACUUACGAUUAAACUUAAGAAAUUUUCAAACUUUCAAAAUACUAGUUUUCGUCAAAAUGAGUCAAAUCAAUCUAGGGACCUCCAAUUUCAAUUCCGGGAAUACGCCCAAAUCAAAAAUCAUGAUAGAGAUCUACCAGAAUUGUCAAAAUACUGAUCCGAGGUCAUUUUUAUAAAAUAUUGAUCGUGGUCAACUCAAGUUAUUUUUAAAACCAAAAAUCAUAUUUUUUUUAAAUUUUCACAUAAAAACUUUUCAAAAAGCGACAUGGACCCAGCACGUAAACCAAGAAAUUUCAAACGGAACUAACAUAUGUGUCAUAACACAGAAAUAAGGGCUAAUACUCAAAAUGGCAUCGUCACAUUCUCCAUCUCUAAAAGAAACUUUCGUCCUCGAACGGACAUAGAAAAGUAUUUGGACUGGUGAAAAGGGAGGUAUCUACUCCGCAUAUCAGACUCGGACUCCCACGUAGCUACCUCGAUCGGUUGACCUCUCUACUUUAGGGUUGUUCAAAUCGAACCGUAACCGUUAACCGAACCAAACUGAUGGCUUAUUAGCUUAUUGGUAUCGGGUUAUCGGGGUAAUGAUUGGUGAACGAAUUGAGAUUUUGUAAUUAAUGGCUUAAUUAUUUGGGGACGGAGUACUCAAUUUUCUUAUCGGAUAAACCUUUAACCCGUUACGAAUUUUUAUAUUUACAUAUACAUAUCUUCAAUUAUGCCCAUUAACUAUACGUGGAUCUACCUCCUCUUAAGACUUCAAAAGAAUUUAUAUAUAAACACACCACCUAGAUGUACAUGCUUGAUUUUAUAUAAGUUUUCUAUCAGCUUGACCAGUUUUUCGUCUUUCCUUUUUUUGACAUGAAACGGUUAGCUAUGCAACUUAAAGAAAUACUUAUAAUAAGUGCAUUAGUGCAAAACAAACUAAAAAGUGUUAACAGAUUCUAUCAUAUAGCAACAAAUGUUAACAAGCCUAGUAAACUAAAGUGCAGUACAUACUAACGAGGGAGUCGAGUCAUUUUAUCAGGUUUGGCCGUUUGGUAUUCACAAGGCUAGGAUUGUUCAAAAAUUUCCUAUUUGGUUUAGCCGAUAAACCGUCCAAUAGUCAUUAAUCUGAUACCAAUCCGCCCAUUGUCUUAUUGUAUGGAUAGCGGAUUACUACAUUUAUAAUCCAAUAAUCGAUAAGCUAAACUGUUAAGCGUAAUUAUCCGUCCAAUAAACACCCCUACUCUACUGCACUCUAACAGAAGGAUAACUCUUAGACCUCAACUUCCGAACCCGCCAUGCUAGAAUAGCCACCAGCUCCUCCCUAUAUGUUAAUUCUUUGUCGAAUUGGACUGAGCUGAAAUCUAAUACAUGGGACAGUUCACUGUGAUACUUCUGGAUCAUGGAGACAUGGAACACCGGGUGAACUGCUGAUAAGCUAGGUAGAAAUGCAAGCUUUUAAGCCACCUCACCAACUCUCUCAAGGAUCUCAAAGGGUCCGAUAUACCUAGGGCUCAACUUGCCCUUCUUCCUGAACCACAUCACAACCUUCAUGGUUGAAACCCGAAGCAAAACCCUCUCUCCAACCAUGAAUACCACAUCACAAACUCUCUGAUCGGCAUAACUCUUUUGCCUAGACUGUGUUGUACGAAUCCGAUCUUAAAUCAUCUUGACCUUUUCCAAGGCAUCCCUGUAAGGCCCCGUGAAAUUUCACCUAGAACCCAAGGUUUUGUGGUGCUGAGGUAAGCUAAUGUGUUUGAGGAUUGUAGGAAUUUGUCAUGGUGAGCUUGCGAGUCACGGUACGGACUUUUGGAGUUUCUUAGUGCAUCGAGGAGUUGAAGGAAAAGAUUUUGCGGAACAUGACAAUUUUGCGGUCCACUAUGCGACCGCAGAUCCAGUUUUUGGGCCGCAGAUCGGUCGCAGAAUGAAGCAGAAAGAUUUGCCAAUUUUGAGGACCAUUAUGCAGCCGCACAACCGUUUUGCAGGCCGCAGAUCCCAUCACAGAACCAGUAUAAGAAAUUUCGUAAGGAUGUUCUGCGGUCCAUUAUGCGACUGCAGAAUUGGUCUGCGGACCGCAGACCUAUCGCAGAGUGAAGCAGAAACUCCCAGUUCUGAAAGGCCAUUAUGUGGUCCAUUUUGCAGACUGCAGAAGUGUUAUGCAGUCGCAUAUGCGGACCGCAAAAGUGUUAUGCGGUCGCAUAUACGACCGCAGAUCUGCAUCGGGGCUUCAUUUUUCUAAUUUUAUAACCCUACCCCUAUUUUGUUUAUCUAGUCUGAGGGUUCAGUUUUGGGGAACUGCCCGAUAUUUUAAAGAGAAAAGAAAACUAUUCUAGAGAGAGGAAAGGGAGGACUAAGGAUUUCACUACUCUACUUUGAUCAAACCUUGGAAUUUCAUCAAAAGGAACUUGCUAGGGCUUCAAAAAGGUAAGAAUUGCUUUCCCCAAUUCUUCAAUUUUAGGUUUGGGUUGAUUAUGGGUGAUGAGGAUAGAUAUAUCACAUGCAUGAGUUAAUAGAGACUGUGGGGAAGUUGUUGAACCAUCUUGGGUGAUUUUGUUCUUGAAUUAGUUGAGGGAAGGUUGGGUCAUCACUGUAGCAGCUCUUGACAUACGAAUUCCUCUAAUCAUGCUUGUAAUUCUCACCUCUUCUAUAGAUUAAAAUUGUUAGAAGUAUUGGGACGUUAUUGUUACACCAAGGAAAGCUCUUUCAAGGUAUGAAGGCUAAACUCUUCUUCUAGUAUCGAAAUUCCCGAAUCCUUGCAAACUUUUAUCAUGUGUAGUCCAACUUGAAACACUGUUGAGGUGAGAUGUUCAAGGUAGUAAAUUGAUUCUCAAAUUGCAUAACGUGUCUGAACCCUUAUGUGUUAAAGAUUUUAUAUUGUGACUUAAUUAUGUUAUACACCUUUUGGGAAUCUAAAUUGUGGUAUUAUGAUUAUACCUCCACCCGCAUACAUUCGGGUGAGGCGGUAGGGCCACUUCGUGUAAAGUUGUGGUAUUGUGAUUACACCUCCACCUGCAUACAUUGGGAUGAGGCGGCAGGCCCGCUUUGUGUAGAGUUAUAGUAUUGUGAUUACACCUCCACCUGUAUACAUUGGGGUGAGGCGGCAUGCCCGUUUUGUAUAGAGUUGUGGUAUUAUGAUUACACCUCCACCCGCAUACAUUGGGGUGAGGCGACAUGGCCACUUUGUGUAGAGUUUAUGGUAUUGUGAUUGAACCUCCACCCGCAUACAUUGGGGUGAGGCGACAGGGCCGCUUUGUGUAAGGGUGGUUACAGAGGAUCCCCAACGUAAAAGUUAUAAAUAUUAUUGGAAGCUCUUAAUAAAAUUUGCUUUGACUUUGACGGCUAUCUAAGCCCUUUUAUUGUUACCAUGAUUCAUCAUAUUCAUAUUGUAUUUCCAAAUCCUUGAAUAGGUAUUUUGGUUUUCAUACUAGUACUAUUUGACAUGUAUUAACGUCCUUUUUGCUAGGGGCGCUGCAUCUUUAAUGGGUGCAGGUGGUUCCAUAGCGGGAGGCAUUGACCAGUGAUAGCGGUACACUCUCUUCCCAGCUGACUUGGUGAGCCACACAUCAUUUCAGGGUCAUGUAUCUUUAGUUCUGCGUGUAUUAUAUUUUGAGGUAUAGUCGGAGUCUUGUUGUCAGCACUAUCAUUAUACUCUUUUGUAUCUAUUAGAGGCUCUGUAGACAUAGUGUGAGUUGUGUAUUGGUGUUGGGAAAGUCAAGCUAGUAAUGUCGAAUGCUUUUUACAUGUUCCACUUCAAACUAUGAAAGUGUUUGUAUUUUGAGACUUAAAAAUAGAGUAACUAAUGGUAAUGGAGUUCGGUUUGUUUAAGCAAUCCUCUUAGUAUUUAAUUAAUAAGCAUUUAUCUCCUCUUUAUUCACGGGUGAGUUUGGUUAGAAAGAAAUCUAACAGGCUUGCUAGGCCGGGUUAUCUCGGUUGAGCGCUGGUCGCACUCCCCGAGGUCGGGGCGUGACAAUCCCGAACCAAAUCAGUACCCGACAACCAAGUCUCUCCCAGAUCAAACCAACCAACUGGAGAACAACACUGCCUCCCAUAUAAGUCAUCAUAAGGAGCCAUCUGAAUACUUGAUUGGUAUCUGUUGUUGUAGGAAAACUCCACAAGCGAAAAGAAUUGAUCCCAAGAACCCCCGAAAUCCAUAACACAGGCGCGAAGCAUAUCCUCAAAUAUCUGAAUGGUGCGCUCGGAUUACCCGUCCGUCUAGGAGUGAAAUGAUGUACUAAACUCAACUCGUGUGCCUAACUCAUGAUGUAUGGCCCUCCAGAAAUUUGAUGUGAAUUGCGUUCCCCGAUCAGAAAUAAUGGACACCGGCACACCGUGAAAACGAACAAUCUCGCAUAUAUGUAUCUCAGCCAGCCGCUCUGAAGAAUAGGUAGCUGGUACCAGAAUGAAAUGCCUCAAAUAUGUCAGCCUAUCCACAAUGACCCAUAAUGCAUCAAAUUUCUUCAAAGUCCGUGGGAGCGCAACAACGAAAUCCAUGGUAAUAUGCUCCCACUUCCACUCGGGAAUCUCAAGUCUCUGAAGUAAACCGUCAGACCUCUGAUGCUCGUACUUCACCUAUUGGAAAUUCAAACACCGAGCCAUAUACUCAAAUAUAUCUGUCCUCAUUCUUCUCCACCAAUAAUGCUACAUCAGAUUCUGAUACAUCUUGGCGACACCCGAAUGAAUGGAAUACCGCGAACUAUGGGCCUCCUCAAGAAUCAACUCACGAAGCCCAUCCACACUGGGCACACAAAUCCGACCCUGCAUCCGCAACACCCCAUCAUUCCCAAUAGAAACCUUCUUGGCAUCACCGUGUUGCACUGUGUCCUUAAGGACAAAGAAAUGGGGGUCGUCAUACUAACACUCUCUGAUGCGCUUAUACAAAGAGGACCGAGAAACCGUGCAAGCAAGAACCCGACUAGGCUCCGAAACAUCUAACCUCAUGAACUGAUUGGCCAAGGCCUGAACAUUUGAUGCUAGCGGUCUCUGUAACGAAUAAGACAAAAAGAAGUAGAAAUGGAGAAAACGGGGCUAUAACUCUCUGUAACGACCCGGCCGGUCGUUUCGAGAGUUAUAGCCCCAUUUUCCCCAUUUAUACUUCUUUUUGUCUUAUUCAGCUAUAUUAUGUUAUAUCAGGUUAGUUAGUUCGGGUCCGGAAGGAACUCGGAGUGAAAUGAGACACUUAGUCUCAUAAUUAAAAAUUUUAAGUUAGAAAAGUGGACCGGAUAUGGACCUAUGUGUAAACGACCUCGGAUUUGAAUUUUGAUGAUUCCAAUAGCUCUAUAUGGUGAUUUUGGGCUUAGGAGCAUGUCCGGAAUAUUAUUUAGAAGUCCGUAGAGGAAUUAGGCUUGAAAUGCCGAAAGUUUAAUUUUUUUGAGAAGUUGACCGGGGGUUGACUUUUUGAUAUCGGGGUCGUAAUACGAUUCUGAAAAUUGGAAUACCUUUGUUAUGUCAUUUAUGACUUGCGUGCAAAAUUUGAGAUCAAUCGGACGUGAUUUGAUAGGUUCCGGAGUCAUUUGUAGAAAUUAGAAAUUUCAAAGUUCAUUAGGCUUGAAUUGGGGUGUAAUUCAUGGUUUUAGCGUUGUUUGAGGUGAUUUGAGGAUUUAAAUAAGUCUGUAUGAUGUUUUAGGACUUGUUGGUAUAUUUGGUUGAGGUCCCGAGGGGCUCGAGUGAGUUUCGGAUGGUUAACGGGUUGGAUUUUAGACUUGGAACUCUGCUAGAAUGUUUCUAAUGCACCAUCUGGUUUCCUUCAUUGCGUUCCGAGUGGAGCCUCGCGUUCGCAAAGAGGAAAUGAGAGGCUGGCAAUAUUUUCUCUUCUCAUUCGCAAAGAGAAGCACGCAUUCGCGAAGGGUGAACUGGGUGUACAUCGUGAACGCGAGAGGAGUUACACGUUCGCGAAGAAGAGAGGAAGCAGCCGAAGACCCCAGGCAAUUGGUCUACGCGUUCGCGUAAGGGGUGUCGCAUUCGCGUAGUNNNNNNNNNNNNNNNNNNNNNNNNNGCGUUCGCGAAGAAGAAAAGCCUGGGCAGUGAGUUUAAGUUCUGAAAAUGGGAGUUCGUCCCAUUUUCAGUUUUUGACGAUUUGGGGCUCGGAUUUGAGGCGAUUUUGGGUGAUUUUCAGAGGAAACAACGGGGUAAGUGUUCUUAACUCAAUAUUAGUUAAAUUACCCGAAUCCAUGGUUAUUUUUAUCAUUUAAUUGGUGAAUUGAGUUGGAAAAAUUUGAAAACCCUCUUGGUUUAAAUUGAAGAUUAGAGGGUCGAGUUGGGGUCGGAUUUUGGUAAAAUUGGUAUGGUUAGAUUCGUGGUUGAAUGGGUUUCCCGAUUUUAUAACUUUUGUUGAGUUUCGAGACGUGGGCCCUACGGGCAAUUUUUGAGCUAAUUUUCGGAUGUUUUAUGGAAAUCAUUAUUAUCUUAUGGAAUUAAUUCCAAUAAAUUUUAUUGACGGAAACGAAUUAUUUAUGACCAGAUUCGAGGCGUUUGGAGAUCAAUUCACGAGGAAAGGACAUUGCAAAAUAAGAAUUUCGCGGCUUGAGGUAAGUAAUGAUUGUAAAUCUAGUCCUGAGGGUAUGAAACCCCGAAUUUCGUAUCAUUUUACUUCUUUGAGGUGACGCACAUGCUAGGUGACGGGCGUGUGGGCGUGCACCAUUGAGGAUUUGUGACUUGGUCCGUCCCGUAGUAACUGUAAAGUUGCAUACUUCGUUGAAACUAUAUGAUACUUAUAUGUUUUAGAAAGAGUUUCUGUAAAUUGGGCUGAAUGCCAUGGUUGGGCCUUGCGCCAGUGCUGUUUGGACCCUUAGGGGCUUUUUCUUACUAUCCUCUCAUUGUUUUCGAUUGAAAAUCUAUACUCAGUCAUGUUUAUACUUAUUUACCGCAUAACUCAGUUUUAUGACUCUAUUUUGAUGCAUAUAAAUGUUUUGGGCCGAAUGUCCUGUUUUACUGAAAUGCCCGAGUGGCUUGAGAGGUUUAUGACUGAGUGAGGCCGAGAGCCUGAUUUGUGAGGAUAUUUAUGGGAUCGGGCUGCACGCCACAAUAUGUUGAUAUCGGCCGAGGGCCUGAUUGUGAGGAUGAGUGUGGAUCGGGGAUGCCCGCCUGCAUCAUACUUUAUUAUUAUAGCACGUGAGUUGUCCGUGCAGCACGUGAGUUGUCCAUGCAGAUUAUAGCGCUUGGGCUGAAGGAGCCCCUCCGGAGUCUGUACACACCCCCAGUGAGCGCAGGUACCUACUGAGUGCGAGUGCCGAAUGCUGAGUGACUGGGAGGAAUGAGUGAUUGUGAGGUAUGNNNNNNNNNNNNNNNNNNNNNNNNNGCUCGUCACUACUGCUCAGUCUUUAUUUAUUGUUGUUACUUACUGAGUUGGCAUACUCACGUUACUCCCUGCACCUUGUGUGCAGAUUCAGGUGUAGCUGGACACGGUAGCAGUUAUUGAGUGUUCUGGUUGCAGAUUUUCUUGGAGAUAGCAAGGUAGUUGUUUGGCGAUCGCAGCCCCUGCUCUUCUCCCUAUUAUCUUCCUCUAGUUGUUUUUAGCUAUUUUUCAGGUUGAGUUAGCAUUGAUAUUGUUAGACAGAUUGUAGUAGAUGCUCAUGACUAGUGACACCCCGAUGCCGGGCUUUUCCUUCCGCACUUUUAUUUUGAUUUGAACUCAUUUACGAAGGUUUUUAUGGUAAAUAACAUUGAAACUAUCUUUGAAAUGAAAACAUCGGUUUGUUUUGGAAAUGAGUCGGCUUGCCUAGUUCCACGAUAGGCGCCAUCACGACAGGGGUUAGUUUGGGUCGUGACAGUCUCUCACCAACUGGAAUAUAUGCAAGGCUACCCAUACUCACAGCCUUUCUUCUCAAGGCAUCGGCCACCACAUUAGCCUUCCUGGGAUGAUACAAAAUGGUAAUAUCAUAGUCUUUUAACAACUCUAACCACCUCUGCUGCCUCAAGUUAAGAUCCUUUUGCUUAAAAAAAAGUACUAUAGACUCCUAUGAUCUAUGAAUACCUCACACAACACGCCGUAGAGGUAAUACCUCUAAAUCUUCAAUGCAUGAACGAUAGCUGCCAACUCUAAGUCAUAAUAGGGUAAUUCUUCUCAUGAACCUUUAACUCCCGAGAUGCGUACACAAUCACCUUGCCAUCCUGCAUGAACACUGCACCAAGAGCAAUAUGCGAUGCAUCACAAUACACGAUGUAGGAUCUUAAACCUGUAGGCAAUUCCAACACUGGGGCUGCAGUCAAAGCAGUCUUGAGAUUUUGAAUGCUCAACUCACACUCAUUGGACCACCUGAAUGGGGCACUCUUUUGCGUCAAUCUAAUCAAUAGGGUUGCGAUGGAUGAAAACCCCUCCAUGAACCGGUGAUAAUAACUUGCCAAACCCAAGAAACUCUAAAUCUCUGUAGUUGAAGUAGGUCUAGGCCAGUUCUGAACUAUCUCAAUCUUCUUAAGAUCCACUUUAAUGCCCUCCUCAGAUACAACAUGUCCCAAAAAGGCAAUCAAGUCCAACCAAAACUUAUACUUUGAAAACUUGGCAUAUAAUUGACUAUCUAUCAGAGUCUGAAGUACAAUCCGAAGAUGCUGCUCAUGAACCUUUCGACUACGGGAGUAUACUAGAAUUUCAUCAAUGAAGACUAUCACAAAAGAAUACAAAUAGGACUUAAAUACCCGAUUCAUCAAAUCCAUAAAUGUUGUUGGGGCAUUUGUCAAGCUAAAUAACAUCACUAGGAACUCAUAAUGCCCAUACCGAGUCCGAAAAGCUAUCUUAGGGACAUCUGAUGGCCUAAUCUUCAAUUGAUGGUAGCCAGAUCUCCAAUCAAACUUCAAAAACACUUUGGCACCCUGAAGCUGACAAAUAAGUCAUCAAUCCUCAGCAACAGAUAUUUGUUAUUGAUAGUGAAUUUGUUCAACUACCGAUAAUCUAUACACAUCCUCAUCGAACCAUCCUUCUUCUUCAUAAACGACACUGGCGUACCCCACGGCGAGACACUAGGUCUAAUGAAUCCCUUAUCAAGCAAAUCCUGCAACUGCUCCUUCAGUUCCUUCAACUCAGGUGGGGUCAUACGGUAUGGUGGAAUAGAAAUAGGCUGAGUGCCCGGAACCAAAUCAAUACAAAAGUCGAUAUCUCUGUCGGGUGGCAUCUGAUAAGUGUGGAUUUUAACUACUUAUUAGUACCUACUUGUUUUAGUUUUGGUCCAAAAGUAUUAAUUUAUGUUCCUAAAACUAAUGAAAUUGUGCAAAUUGCAUGAAUGUUGGAGAAAUGGACUCUAAUGAAGAAAUCUAACUCAAAAAAGAGUGUUUCGGGUCAUAAGGCAAGAAGGAGCACAACAUGCUAAAAGUGUGGCCCGUAGAAGAAAGCGCGGACCGUAGAAUUCUCUCCGUGGCCGCAGAUCUGGUGUUGAAGCUCAGAAGUUGAUUGAAGCAAAGCACGGACCGCACACUAUUUUUGCGGCCGCAAAACAUGGUUGCACUGACAAGAAUUCAAAAUGUUCAGAGAGUGUACAAAAUGACCAAGAGUGAAGCCUUGCCAGAAGUGCGGACCGCAUAUGGAGUUUUGCGGAUGUUGAAGCUAAAGUGCAGCCACAGGCGAAAUUGUGUGGCUGCAGAAUCCCUCAACCUGCAGACUCGAGCAAAGUGUGGACCGCACGUGGAAUUGUGCGGCCGCAGAACCUCUUGAAGGGCAUAUUUGUCAGCUAAUUUUGGGCCACUAUAAAUAGACGAGAAUCACUUUUUUAGGUCAAUUUUGGUAGUUUUUUGAGCUUUAGCCGUUGUACUUUACCACUUUUGGUAAUUUGUAACCAAUUUGGGCUAAAAACACAUUAGUUUAUCAUUUUAAUUUGCUAUUAUGGCUUUAAUUAGUGUUUCAUCUUUAUUUUCUUCUAUUUCCAUUAUGAGUACUAGAUAUUUUCUAGGGUUGUGACCCAACCCUAGUGUGUAAACCUUAUGGGUAAUUAAUCUAAUACUUGUUUAUUAUUGAGUGUUUGUUGUUUAGCCUUUUUCAUGCUUUAAUUUUAGAAUUAAUGGUUGCAAACAUUUAUUCAUGCCUUUUUGACUUGGUCUUUACUUAAGAAAGAGGGACUUAGUCUAGGAAAACUUGGCUAAUAAGAAAUUGGGCUAGUUAAGGUAUUGACUAGCCUAAUUAAAAGGUUUGAACUAGAGAUAGGAAAAAUCCGACUUGAGCUCAUAUCAACUAUUUGGCUUGAUAUCCAUUUGGGAUUGAGAAAGCCAAAUUUGGCAAAAUCACUCCAUGACUGAGAGGUAUUGAGUGGGUAACUUAGCGUUGAGAGCUAUAAUACACCCUGAUCACUAAAACAAGUGUUAACGUAAUUAAUAUAUUAGGCUAACACCUAGGCAAAUGUUACAUCUGUAGGACUUUUACCUAUUUGAAAACAACAAAAAACAAUUAAGCAAUCUCUAGUUAAUCAUCAUAUUAUAGAUUGUAGAAGUAAUUUGCAAAACCAUCUUGUUUGGAAGCAUAUUUAAGCUAUUUCUUCUACACUCAUCAAGUGUACAUUCUAACACCCACAUUUAGCUCCCUGAGAAAAUCGACCCUGAAUCAUAGUUAGGUACUAUUCUUCCAACAAUCUCUUUCACUCAUUGUUGAGUGAGGAUUGGAGUGGAUCAAUAUUUGGCAUCAUUUUCGGGGAGUUAUCACGGUGUUAGCUAUAUAUUUGAGUGUGUUUUUGGAAUAUCUUCUUUCCCUUCCGUGUUGCUAACUUGUUUAAGAAAUCAUAGGUACAAACAUGGCGAAUAAUGAGCUUGAAUAUGCCUUUGGGGUACUUGGACGGUGAGGAGGAAUAAUUCUAUGAGGCACCUCAAGUGCCACAAGCUAAUCGACGUGGCUGGGUACCACAAGACAACGUGCUCGUACCACCCCUACCUCCACCACAUCCACCACAAGCAGCUCAACACCUGAUAUUUCAAAUCACCAACGUGAUGCUUACUUUACUUGAGCAACGGAGCUUCUUCAUCGGUGCACCAACCCAAAAUGCUUACAAACCUUUGAAGGUCUUUGUGGAUACAUAUUGGGGGAGUAAGAAAACUAAUGUUUUCUAAGAUGCAUUGAGGAUAUGGCUUUUUUCCUUCUCUCUACGGGGAAAAACUUUAGAUUGGUUGGAACGUUUGCUGAACCAUCCAAUACUCACUUGGGAUGAGUUGGCGGCUAAGUUCAUUGCUAUGGUUUUCUCUACCGGGCACAUGUCUACACUUCGGGAUGAGAUCUUGGCAUUUAAAAAAGAAUCGAAUGAGCCACUACACGAAAUUUGGGAGCGCUAUCGAACAAUGGUUAAGGAAUGUCCCAACAACAAUAUGACAGAAAACAUGUUGCAAUAAAACUUUUAUCGUGGGACUAACACAACCAACCAAUAUGUAGUGAAUUAACUAGCCGGUGGAAACUUCAUGACAACGCCUUAUGCGGAGGCGUGUGACAUUCUAGAUAAGAUGGCAGAGACGUCAUCUGCUUGGAUAUCCCAGGCCAAUAUCCCACAAGGUGAUCCGAAUAUGAUCUACCUCCACAGAGAGUUGCAAGAUCAUGGGCAAUACAUUGACGAAUUGACUACAACCAUGACUCAACUAGAAAAGUCCUAACAUAAUCAAGUGCAAGCUCCUAAGCAAGUUUAUGCUAUGGAGGGAGUUAAUGUUUUGGUAAACAAGAAGAGGACCAAGGGUCCAAAAAUGCAAACCCGAGUGGAGAACUAUGUUCAAGAUGAUGGCGGUAUUGAUCAAGAUGAUUCUUAUAAUUAGCAAGAGGAGGAAGUGCAAUAUGUGAACAAUUUUCAAGGGCAAAGAAACAACUUCCAAGGCCCAAAUCAACAACAAUGGAGACCACAAAAUAACCAUGGCAAUUGGAGUUCUAAUAAUCAAGGUAAUUGGCAUAAUAACAAUAAUCAAUGAAAUUGGAGUGGAAACAACCAAGGAAAUUGGAGAGGCAACAUUUAAGGUAGUUGGGGAAACAAUCAAGGCAAUCGGGGUUCGGGUUUUCAAAGGCCCCCAAUGUAUCAACAACCAAGCAACCCACCUCCUUAUCCUUACCAUGGUUCAACUCCUUCAAACAAUGAGAUGGGACGUAUUGAGAAUAUGUUCAAGCAAAUGAUGGAAAAGAAUGCGGAUUUGGAUGCCUAACUUGCCUCACACAACACAUCAAUCCGCAAUCUAGAAGUUCAAAUGGGAAAAAUAUCUAAAGCUCUAAAUUCUCGCCCUAAGGGUGCACUACAAAGUGACACGAUGGUGAACCCAAAGUGUGGUAAGAAUGCGGGGCAUGCUAUGGCAGUUAUCAUAAGAAGUUAAAAAGGCGAGAAUGUACCCGCCUCAAGUGUAAAGCGACUUGUCGAUGAUGACCAAGUGAUGCAAGAAGAAGAUAUCUCAAAUGAUGUUGUUUAAGCAAAUGAGGAAGUUUGGAUUGAUAUGUAUGAUAGUGUGGAAGAGACUCAAGAGGAGGUGAACCCGUCUAGGGAACACAUCAUUGACAUACCGGAACCGGUAGUGCAAAAGGUCAAGGCACCAUUGCCUAAGCCUCCACCUCCAUACCCUCAAAUACUUGCCAAGCAAAAUGGUGAGAAUCAAUUCAAAAAGUUCUUGUGACAAAGAAGUGGUCGAUGAAGAGUCUUUCAAUCAAUGUGCUAUUGGUAGAAGCUUUGGAACAGAUGCCUGGUUAUGCAAAGUUUAUAAAAGAUCUCGUGAUAAAGAAGUGGUCAAUGAACUUUGAGAUUAUCAAAGUCACUCAUUAAGUGAGUGCAAUUGUUCAUUCAAUGGCUCCUAAGUUGGAGGAUACCGGUGCUUUCACGAUUCCUUGUACAAUUGGGAAUGUCGAGUUUGCUAAGGCUCUUUAUGAUCUUGGGGCAAGUAUAAAUUUGAUGCUCUAUUCGAUUUUCAAUACUUUGGAGAUUGGGCAACCAAGACCCAUUUCUAUGUGGUUGCAAAUGCCCGAUCGUACCAUGAAGAGGCCACUGUAUGUGAUUGAAGAUGUUUUAGUCCGGGUUGAUAAAUUCAUUCUUCAGGCCAACUUUGUCAUGCUAGAUUACGUUAAUUAUGAAGUGUCAAUCAUUCUUGGGAGACCUUUCCUUGCUACGGGUAAGGCUCUUUGUGAUGUAGAGGCAGGAGAACUCACUUUACGGGUUGGUGAUGAAAAAGUGGUAUUCCAAGUGUGAAAAUGAGGUGUGUUAUUUUGUGGACUUAGUGACCGAUGUUAUUGUUGACGAUACAAGUGCUACUAUCAAUGUUGGUGAUAUGUUGGAGGCCAAUUUUGCUCAGUUUUGAUGAUGACGAGAUGGAUGGUUUCAUGGAAUGCGUGAACUCUUUGCAAGGAAUGAGGUCGUAUAACUAUGCACCCCGAAAAUUAUCUUUGGAUCUUGAAAAUGGGAAGACUCCUCCUACAAAUCCUUUUAUUGAAGAGACACCCACUUUGGAGUUGAAGCCAUUGCCUUCACACCAUCGGUAUGAAUUUCUUGACCAUUGUUCUACUUUACCGGUUAUGUUUUACUCUUGUUUGACAAAUGUGCAGGUUGAUUCCAUAUCGGUGGUGUUACAAAAGAGGAAGAAGGCUAUUGGGUGGAUUUUGGCGAAUAUUCGGGGUAAAAGACCUGCCUUUUGCAUGCAUAAGAUCAAGUUGGAGGAUGGUGUUAAACUGUCCAUUGAACAUCAAAGAAGACUCAGUGAGGCUAUGAAAGAAGUUGUCAAGAAGGAGAUUAUCAAAUGGUUGGAUGGCGGGGUUGUCUACCCUAUCUCCGAUAGUUCAUGGACCUCUUUGGUUCAAUGUGUUCCAAAGAUGGGGGGCAUGACGGUGGUUACCAAUGAUAAGAAUGAAUUGAUUCAUACAAAAACAGUGACUGGUUGGAGGGUUUAUAUGGAUUAUUGCAAGCUCAACAAAGUUACAAGGAAGGAUCACUUUCCACUUCCUUUCUUAGAUAAAAUGCUCGAUAGAUUAGCCGAUCAUGCUUUCUAUUGCUUUCUUGAUGUGUACCCUUCUACAACCAAAUUCUCAUUGCUCUGCAAGAUCAAGAGAAAACAACCUUUACAUGUCUCUAUAGUACUUUUGCUUUCAAGAGGAUGCCAUUUGGUUUGUGCAACACACCGGUGACUUUUCAACGGUGUAUGAUGGUUAUUUUCACGGACAUGGUGGAAGUCUACCUUGAGAUUUUCAUGGAUGACUUCUCGGUAGUUGGGGAUUCUUUUGAUGAUUGUCUUGCAAAUUUGGACAAAGUGUUGGCUAGAUGUGAAGAAACCAAUUUGGUACUCAAUUGGGAGAAAUACCAUUUCAUAAUUGAGGAAGGUAUUGUCCUUGGACAUAAAAUCUCAUAUAAUGGAAUUGAAGUUCACAAGCCGAAGAUUGAGGUGAUUUCUAAGCUUCCACCCCCAACUUCGGUGAAGGGUCUGCGGAGUUUUCUAGUCCAUGCGGGUUUUAACCGGCGCUUUAUCAAAGAUUUCUCUAAAGUGGUGAACCCAUUGUAUAAGCUCCUUGAGAAGGAUGCCAAGUUCAGUUUCAAUGAUAAUUGCAUGAGGGCUUUUGAACUAUUAAAGCUCAAGUUGACAACUAGUCCUAUUAUCACCGCUCCAAAUUGGAGUGUGCCUUCUGAACUCAUAAGUGAUGCAAGUGACGUAGUGGUUGGGGCUAUUUUGGGGAAACGUAUCAACAAAAUUAUUCAUCCGGUCUACUAUGCUAGUAAGACCAUAAAUAGUGCCCAAAGAAAUUAUACCAUUACGGAUAAAGAGCUCCUUGCUAUUGUGUUUGAAAUUGAGAAGUUCCGCCCAUACUUGAUGGGUGCCAAAGUUAUUGUCGACACGGAGCAUGCGGUGUUUCGCUAUCUUAUGAACAAAAAGGAGUCCAAAGUCCUGUUGAUGAGAUGGGUACUCUUGUUGCACGAAUUUGAUAUUGAUAUCCAAGAUAAGAAAGCUAGUGAAAACCAAGUGGCGGACCACUUGUCUUGUUUGGAAGAGGAGGGAAGGCCGCAUGAUGGCCGUGAAAUCAAUGCCUACUUUCUCGAUGAGCAACUUCUGGCAAUUUCAAUGAAAGAGGUGCCAUGGUUUGCGAACUUGGCAAAUUUUCUUGUGAGUGCCUUCAUUCCGGAUGAGUUCUCUUCAAACCAAAGGAAGAAGCUCAAAAGAGAUUGUUAAGAUUAUUAUUGGGAUGAACCAUACCUUUUCAUGAUUUAUACGGAUGGGUUGAUUAAAAGGUGUGUACCGAAAAAAGAGCAAGGCAAUAUUCUUGGGGCUUGUCAUUCUUCACCAUAUGGUGGCUAUCAUGGUAGAACAAGAACGGCGGCCAAAGUUCUUAGUUGUGGUUUCCAUUGGCCUAAAGAAUGCUAGUGAUUUGGUGAAAUGAUGUGAUGAAUGUCAACGGGUCGGUGGAAUCUCAAAGUAAAAUGAAAUGCCUCUCACAACCAUCUUGGAGAUUGAUAUUUUCGAUAUUUGGGGCAUUGACUUUAUGGGCCCUUUUGUGAGCUAUUGUGGAAACACUUACAUCUUGGUUACGGUGGAUUAUAUGUCCAAAUGGUUUGAGGUCAUCGCCUUACCCAACAAUGAGGCGAGAAGUGUAGUGACUUUCUUGAAGAUGAAUAUUUAUACAAGAUUUGGUACUCCACGUGCAAUCAUAAGCGAUGGGGGUCACACUUUUGCAACUAAGCUUUUGACACUUCACUUAGCAAGUAUGGUGUUACUCACAUGGUCACGACUCCCUAUCACCCACAAGCUAGUGGGCAAGUGGAAGUCUCCAACUGGAAAAUAAAGAGUAUUUUGCCUAAAACGGUAAAUGCUAAUCAGGCGGAUUGGUCCAAGAAGCUUGAUGAUGCAUUAUGGGAUAAUCGGACGACUUACAAAAUACCUAUCGAAAUGUCUCCAUACCGGUUAGUGUUCGGGAAAGCUUGUCAUCUUCCGGUGGAACUAGAGCACAAAGCAAUAUGGGCUCUAAAGAAAUUGAAUCUUGAUUAGGAGUAGCCGCUAACUUGCGGGUUACACACUUGAAUGAAUUGGAUGAGUUCCGGUACCAUGCAUAUGCGAGUUCGUCCUUGUACAAAGAAAAGAUGAAAUAUCUUCAUGAUAAUACAUUUGGAACAAAAAGUUCAAGGUGGGCGAUCUUGUAUUGUUAUUUAACUCAAGGUUGAAAAUGUUUCCCGAGAAGCUAAAAUCCAAGUGGAGUGGUCCAUUUGAAAUUGUUGGUGUGACACCUUUCGGUGCAUUAGACUUGAAGAACAAAAACAAUAAAGUAUUUUGAGUUAAUGGUCACCGGUUUAAGCACUACUUGGGGAGGGUUGGAGAUAGCAAUGUGGUGGCGGUCAUUUACUUCACUUGAGGAUGCUUUAAUAUUGUAUCGUGCUGCGACUUUAAAUCAGGCGCUUCUUAGGAGGCAACCCAUGUUCUUUUUCUUUUUCUUUUGUAGUUAGAUGUUACUUGUUGUGUUAACUUAAUUUGAAGUGUGCUAAAGGAUUGAGUGUUACAUGCAAGAAGGGUGGAUGAAAAAUGGCCAAGUAUAGAAGCAAUUGCGGACCGCACUUUAAUUGUGCGGACCACAGAAUUUCAUGUGCCACAACAGGGGUGCUUAUGCGGCCGCACAUUUCAAAUGCGGAACGCAUAAUUGGAGGCUUGCCAAAGUGUCAAAAUGUAAACUCUCUAAAGUUUAAGUGUGUUAGUGCGGGGCAAAUAAGCGACCGCACUCAAAAAUGUGCGGACCGCACAUGAGGUUCAUAGAAGGCAGGCCCAGGUGAAAGAGCGCGGACCGCACUUGGAAUUGUGCAACCGACCCUAUUUACUCUGUAAGUGCCGAGUCUAACCUCAACAAAGUAGUGACGAGGCUAAGGCAAUUCACUUACAAUAACAUGUAUGCGACAAUAAUAAUAACGAAAAAAUAUGAAAUGGAAGUAAAGUAGUUAACUCAUGAGAACGAACUCGAAAUUUAACUACCAGAGAGCCCAUAAUAACAAAUUGCAUAGUCUCAUAUCACAAUAUCGAGGCAAUUCCAACAAUCACAAAUAAGUACCACAUAUACAAUCCGUUUCGGCGCGCAACCCGAUCCCACCAUAUAAUCAUCUGUUAAUAUCAUAAUUUGUCAUUAUUCCACGAUUUCAAUUCAUUAGCUUUCAAUUUUCAUUGCGGCGUGCAACCCCUCCCCAAACAAUUUCAAUCAAUAUAAACAAUUCAACAACCAAGUUUACAAGAAUUUCUGCAUCAAGAAGGUAAAUGUACAAGACAAUAAAGAAUCACAUAAUAAUCAAAGAAUCUCUAACGACUCGAAGUCUCAACUUUACCAAUUCAUCGGUAUCUAUCAACUAAAAAACUCAUGCAAGUGAAAUAAUAUUAUAGAAUGCAACAAAAAUAUUACAAAACUAGUAAAGCAUGUGACAAUUUAAGUAUGCAAGUAAAGCAAGUACAGACAAGUAGCAAAUAAGCAUGGAGUCAUAGAAGAGACGAACAAUUUAAUACAAGAAUAAUUAAAUGACAAGUAAAAAUUAUAAUAUAGAUGUGAAAUAAAGCAUGUAACAAUUAAGGCAUGAAGCAAGAUAUAUCAUGAAAUAAACGAAAAUAUGGAAACAAAUAUCAUGACGGCGUAUAUACACUCGUCACCACGCAUAUACGCUGUUUUCCCAAAAACUUCACAUAACACAUAGUUCAAGAAUUCCUAAUUCCCUCAAGUCAAGGUUAGAACCAACAUUUACCUCACUCAGUGAAUCAAAGCAAUCAACCAAUGACGGCCUUGCCUUUUGAAAGAGCCUCCAAACCAACCAAAUCUAGCAAAUUAUCGAUCAAACAUUUCAAAAUAAGCUUUAGAAACUACCCAUUAAUGAAAGAGGUUCAAUUUUGAUCAUUUUAGAAAAGUCAACAAAAAUUAACCCUGGGUCUGCUUGGUCAAACCCCGAGGUUCCGAUCAAAACCCGAUUACCCAUUCACCCCCGAAUCCGGUUAUGUGAUUUGUUUCGAAAUCCGACCUCAAUUUGAGGUCUAAAUCUUAAGUUUACCCAAAUCCCCAAUUUCUACCCAAAUCCCUAAUUUCUGUCUUGGAAAUCCUAAAUAUGAUGUUCAUAUCUCAUGAAAAGUAAUGAGUACUUGAAAAAUAUUGAUUAAAGUCACUUACCAAUGAAUUUGGGAAGAAAAGUCUCUUGGAAAAUCGCCUCUAGAGUGUUUAGGAUUGAUAAAUAGUGUAAAAUGAGCUAAGUCCCAAUUUUCCCUCUUUUACCCAGCUGCAGAUGUCGCAAUUUUGAAGUCAUGUUCGCAAUUGUGAACAUCGCAAAUGCAAAACAAGGGUCACAAAUGCGAACCCUACCUCAGAAGCCUAGAAGUCGCUAUUGCGAUGAAAAGUUCGCAAUUGCGGAAAGACCCACCUUCACAAUUGCGGACAAUGCCUUCUCAAUUGCGAAGAUCACCCAAAUGCACACUGAGUGGCAAAUGCGACUCAAGGAUCGCAAAUGCGACCACUGAUAAGAACUACUAGAAUCACGUAUAAGCAUCCGAAUCAUGUCAAACCAAUUCCGAAUUACACCAAAUUUUGAAGAAGAGUUUCAAAUAGUAAUACAGACCUAUUCCAAGUUUCAACAUAAAAAUACGAACCUGAUACGAUCAAACUUAGGAAAUUUUAAACUUUCAAAAUACUAGUUUUUGACAAAAAUGAGUCAAAUAAAUCUAGGGACCUCCAAUUUAAAUUUCGGGCAUAUACCCAAGUCUAAAAUUAUGAUACAGGCCUAUUAAAAUCGUCAAAACACCGAUCCGAGGUCAUUUUUAUAAAAUAUUGACCGCAGUCAACUCAAGUUUUUUAAAAGCUAAAAAUCAUAUUUUCUUUAAAUUUUCACAUAAAAGCUUUUCAAAAAGUGAUACGGACCAUGCAUGCAAACCAAGAAACAUCAAACAGAGCUAACGGAGGUCUUAAAAUAAGAAAAUAAGGUCUAAUUCUCAAAACGACAUAUCGGGGCGUCACAUAAAUUGUGCUCAAUUAUGACAUAAAUUGAGAAGAGAGACAAAAUCACAUACAUACAUUCUAGAGAGAAGAAAUUGGGAAGAAGAAAAGAAAGAUUUUUUUUAUUAUCUCUCUGAAAAAGAGUACAAGUAUAUAUAUAUACACACACACACACUUCAGUGCACUCAACUCUCACGUGCAAUCUAACUAUCUAACAACUUAACUUCUAACAACUCAUUAACAACUUAUUUCAACUGUUAAUAUCUCUGAUACUUCCCCUCAAACGGGUGGGUGAAAUACAUCGAGCACACCCAGCUUGAAAGAAGAGUAUGUUGUUGAGCAACACUUAACCCUUUGGUGAGCAAAUCUGCCAACUGAGAUCUGGUGGUCAGAUAACUAGUCUUGAUCAGGCCUAAUUUAAUCUUCUUUCGGACAAAGUGAUAAUUGAUCUCAAUGUGCUUGGUACGUUCAUGGAAGGUGGGGUUAGCAGCAAAUCGCAUUGCUGCCUUUCUGUCAUAGCAGAGUUGUACUGGUGUAGAAAGUGAAAUCUUGAGAUCCUUUAAAAGCCCAACUAGCCAUAUAAUCUCUGCUACAGCCGCUGUCAUGCUCCUAUAUUCAGCUUCAGUUGAGUUUCUGCUCACAGUCUACUGCUUCUUCGAUUUUCAUGAGAUCAAGGAAUCACCCAGCUUGAUUACAUAGCAUGUGACUAACCUUCUAGUAUUGGGACAAGCUGUCCAAUAAGAAUCACAGAAGGCAAUCAGUUCAUUGAACGUUUCUUCAAGAAUACUCCUAAACCAAGAGCAUUAUUUAUAUAUCUUAGCACUCUUAAUGCAGCUUCUCAAUAUGAUUGUUUAGGUGGUUGCAUGAAUUGGUUCAAAACUUGCACUACAAAGUAAAUAUAUGGCUUAGUGACAGUCAGAUAAAUCAUCUUGCCCACUAGUCUUUAGUAACUGCUAAUAUCUUCCAAAGGUAAAUCAUCAGACCUUCCAGCAUGAGUGUCAUAGUCUAUUGUUGUCAGCUUGAUAAUCUAUUCUAAUGAGGUGGAAGUUGUCCUGGCUCCACUUAAUCCCGUAUCAGAAAUCAACUCCACAUCAUACUUCUUCUGAUUAAGUAAGAUCCCAUCCCACAUUUAGACCUCAUCACUUCAGUCCCCAGAAAGUAUUUAAGUUCCCCUAAAUUUUGACCUUAAAAUUGUCCUGAAGAGUUUUUUUUUGCCUCAUGAAUAAUGUCCUUGGAGCUCCCACUAAUUAGAAUAUCACCCAAAUAGAUCAAGAUGAUCACAAUGUCCACUCCAUUUUGCUUAGUAAACAUGGAGUGAUCAUGUGAGCUUUGAUAUAAACCAGCUUCUAGUAAAGAAGAAGUCAAUUUGAUGUUCCAUUAUCGAGAGGCUUGUUUAAGCCAAUACAAGGACUUUAACAAUCUACAUACUCUAGAAUCCCCAUGUCUGUGAAACCCUUGUGGAAGUUUCAUAUAGACCUCUUCAUAUAAGUCACCUUGAAGGAAGACAUUAUUCACAUCCAUCUGACACAAAUGCCAAUCCUUAGUUGCUAACAUGCUAAUCACAGUUAUGAGAGUAACCAUCUUGUCAACGGGAGAGAAUGUUUCAUGACAAUCCAAACCUUCCCUCUAUGUGUAACCUUUUGCCAUUAGUCUUUAUUUAUACUUGUCUAUUUCACCAUGGCCCUUGUAUUUAAUUUUAUACACCCAUUUAGAACUUAUGUCUUGCUUUCCAGCUGGUAGAGGCACCAACUCCCAUGUAUAUUCUCUUCUAAAGCAUCAAUCUCUUGUUGCAUAGCCUCUACCCAUCUCUGAUCUUUAGAAGCUUCUCUAAAGGUUUUGGAUUCUGUGACUGUGGAGAAUGACCCUAAAUAUGCAUGAUAGGUAGAACUGUAGGGGUGUUCAAACCGAACCGAAAACUCACAUCAAAUCGAAAAGUCAAACCAAACCAAUUAUAAAACUCGAUAAGGUUUAGUUUGAUUUUGUUUGUUAUUGAGUAAAAACACUCAAACCAAACUGACAUAUAAAUAUAUAAUUUUUAUAUAUGCUUCUAAGAUUUUAUAUAGAAUUUUCUUUAAAGAAUAUCGAGAAAUAUUUGGAAUCCUCUCAUGGGAUGUAUUAUAUUUAAUAGAACUAUGAAGUGAAUCCAUUUUUAUUUACUUUAAAUAAUGGGUUGUAUCAUCACUUUCUUAUCAAGUGUUAUUGAAAUGUGUCGAUCUCUUUGUUCUUCUAUAUUCAUAUGUCAAGUAAAUUUUUAUAUUUUCUUCGAAUUUGAAAUGGUAUUUCAAUAAUUUAAAAUUAAAUAGAACAUAUUUUUAUUUAGGUAUCACAUUGAUUUUUAUAUUUAAUUAUUAAAUUCGGUUAAGUUUGAAAGCGUACAUCACCGAAAAAUUAUUGUUAGAUGACUAAGAAAAAAACUAUCAUGUGUUACUAAAAAAUAUUUUUCUUAAGAAUAUUUUAAUAAAUCAUAUAUUUGUCAGUUUUUUCAGUUUUUACUAAACAUAUAUUCACUUAUCAAAAUUCUAUCAAUAACUUUAAUAAAGUAAGAUUGAAAUAAUAUUCAUGUAAUAGAAAACGCGAAAAAUCCGAACCAAUCCAAACCAAUAUAUAGUUGGUUUGGUUUGGUUUUGAUAAAAAUUGAACUAAUCUGGUCCAUGUACACCCCUAGGUAGAAGAUAGGUGAGAAUAAGUAAUACACUAGGAGAUGGGAUAAGAGAAAUAAGCAAUUGGCUUGAUUGUAGUAACAUAAUCACUAAGCCAAAUAGGUGGCUUAGAUACUUUGCUUGGUCCGAUAGAAAUUGCCUCCUGAUUAGUUCCAGGUGCUUCAUCAGGCAUAGGAACUGCCACUUUUGGUUGUUCAACUUGUGAGAUAGCUUUAACUGACUCGUCAUGGAGUUCCAGUCCUUUAGCUGGGGUAGCUGAAUCUGAUGAUGCUUCAGAUUGUACUGGCGUGUAUUACCCUCACUACCUUUAGGAUGAGAUUGUGGGUCUGACACUGCAUAUUGAGGUAAUGGUUCUGUAAUUGUUUGAGUAGGAUGAGGAAUAACAUAAUGUUGUUCCUCAAAUGGUUGAAUAAUUGUUGGUUUCCUGAAUAAAAAUAUAUUUGAAGUAUCUUCGUGUGGAUCUUCUUUGAAAGGAAAUAUGGAUUCUUUGAAAGUAACAUCUCUACUGACAAAGAGUUGUCUAUCUUCCAAAUCAUAUAGUUUAUACCUAUUUUGAGUUUCUGAAUAACCAAUCAGGAUAGCCUUCUUGCUCUUGUUGUAAACUUGUCAGUUCUAUGUAGUGUACUUGCAUAGCAAAGACAGACAAACAACCUUAGAUGCUCUAGUUUAGGUUCCUUUCCAAGAAACAAUUCAUAAGGUGUAUUCCCUUCCAACACAAUUGAUGGCAAUUUGUUAAUAAGAUAGACUGCAAUUCUGAUAGUCUCCCCAGAAUCAAAUUGGCAUGGAGCUUUGAAACUUUAGAGAUCUAGCUACUUCAAAUAUAUGCAUAUGCUUUCUCUCCACUGUCCUAUUUUGUUAUGGAGUAUAUGGACAACUACUUUGAUGUAUAAUCCCACUAUAAGCCAAUAAUUCAUUACAGUUAGCAUUAAAGACUUCUGUCCCAUUUUUUGUUCUUAAAAUUUUGAAAUUCAUUCCGAACUGGUUAUUAAUCAUGGAAAGAAAAUAUUUUAACACAUCAAAUACUUUACAUUUAGACUGCAUCAAAUAUAUCCAAGUGUAUCUACUAUAAUUAUCCAUAAUAGUCGCACAAUAAUAUAUCCUAUUAUAUGUAGUUCCGAGUAUAGACCCAUACAUCUAGAUGCAUAAGCUAGAAAGGGAUAUCUGUUUUAUUAUUACUACUAGGAAAUUUCAGUCUACUAUGUUUAGCUAAGGGACAAAUAUCACAAUUAUCUUGAAUGCCACUAUCAACUAGGCUUAUAAGUGAUGGUACAUGUUGCAUUUCACUAACUGAUGGGUGGCCCAAUCUCUAAUGCCAUAAUCUUCCGUUGUUUUCUGUUUUGAAGGCAGUUGCUCCUGCUGCAGGCUUUAUUUCUUCUUAUAGUAUGUACAAACCAUCUCUCUCUCCACCAAUCCCCAUUACCUUGCCAUUGAAGAGUCCCCGAAACACACUAAAAUCGGGGGAAAACGUGGCCAAGCAAAAGAGUUCCCUGGUUAUUUUGGAAGCCGACAGUAGAUUGAAUUUGAAUUCUGGUACGUGUAACACAUUGUGGAUCUUAUGAUCUCCUAGAAUCAUUGUCUCCCCUGCACUUGAAAUGUGAGUUCUACUACCAGUUGGUACUUGUACUUUACUACGUAUUUGAUCUCCUAGAGUCUUAACAGGUGUAAUGUGAUGAGAGGCCCUCGAAUCUACAAUCUAUUCACAGGCAAAAUCAUUGGAUAGUAGCGAGAAUAUACCUGCCAUGUUUCUCUUGCAUUCACUCGAAGAAGACUUAUCCAGCAUGCUCAGUAACUGUAUGUUAUUGUUGCUCUGUGAAACAAUAUCCUGCGGAUUUUCCUUUAGAGGAUGAUUCAUUGUCCGAUGUUGUAGUGGUGUUAGCAAAAGGUUUGAAACCAGUAGGUGUCACAUUCUUCUUUUUGCUCUUAAAAUCCUAGGGAUACCCAAUGAUUUUGUAACAAUUUUCUUUUAAGUAUCCUUUGUAUCCACAAUGCUCACAGAUAAGACCUGGCUUCUUAGGUUUGAGUCCUUGAGUUUUCCCUACUAACAUGAUCAGAGGAUCUUUUUUCAUGUCAACCACUCAUAAGGAUCGUUGGCUCUCUUCCUGAGUCACAGUGGCAUAAGCCUCGUUCAUUAAUAUUAAUGGUGUAAUGACUCGACCGUUCAUUUUGAGAGUUGUAGCCUCGUUUCCCUAUUUACUACUCAUUUUAUGCUUUAUAGCUGCUAUGUGACUUGUCAAGGUAGUUGGUUUGGGUCUGGGAAGGUUUCGGAAUGAAUUGAGACACUUAGUCUCAAGGUUGAAAGCUUAAGUUGAAAUGGUUGACCGGAUAUUGACUUGUGUGUAAAUGACUCCGGAAUAGAAUUUUGAUGGUUCUGUUAGCUCCGUAGGGUAAUUUUAGACUUAUGAGUGUGUCGAGAUUGUGAUUUGGAAGUCCGUAGUUGAAUUAGGCUUGAAAUGGCAAAAGUUGGAAAUUUGAAAGUUUGACCGAGAGUGGACCUUGUGGUUACCGGGCUCGGAUUGGGGUUUUGAGAGUUGGAGUAGAUCUCUGGUGUAAUUUAUGACUUGUGUGCAAAAUUUGAGGUCAAUCGGAAGUAAUUUGAUAGGUUUUGGCAUCGUUUGUAAAAGUUGGAAUUUCUUAGUUUUAAUAUGCUUGAAUUGGGGUGUGAUUUGUGGUUUUAGCAUUGUUUGAUGUGAUUUGAAGGCUCGACUAAGUUUGUAUAAUAUUUAAACACUUGUUGGUAUAUUUUGUUGAGGUCCCGGGGGCCUCGGGUGGAGUUCGGGUGAUUUUCGGAUCAAGUUUGGAGUAAAAAGGGGUGAUGUAGCUGAAGCCUUCUGGUGUAAUCGCACCUGCGGAGCUUUGGUCGCAGGUGCGAGCUCGCAUGUGUGGGCUGGGAAGCGCAUAAGCGACCUAGGAUGGAGGUGUGCAGUGGUCGCAGGUGCGAGAUAAUUUUCGCACCUGUGUGGUCGCAGAUGCGGCGUCAUGGGCGCAGAAGCGGAGUUGGCUAGUGGGGGAGCUUGCGCAGGUGCGAUGGAAAUUCUGCACCUGCAAUUGCGCAGAUGCAUAGGCAGGAAUGCAAAAGCGAAGGGAGCCUUAGGGCAUAUCCGCAGGUGCGGUUACGUGAUCCGCAGAAGCGAAAAGGCUGGGCAGUGUGUUAAAAACGAGGGUUCCGAGAUUUUCUUUACUUUUGAACCUUCCAAGCUCGGGAUUAGGCGAUUUUGAGAGGGAUUUCGAAGGGAUUCUUGAGGCAAGUCACUUGUGGUUUAAUUUUUUCAAUAAUUAUGUUUUCCCAUUAAUUUUUCCACCUAGAUUGUGUGGUUUUAAGAUGUAAUUUAGGGGUUUGAGGCUAGGGAUUUAGAGAGUUUAAAUUGGGGAUUUGGGUUUCGAUUUGGUGUUGGAUUUUAGUAAAUUUUUUAUGGUUGGACUCGUGGUUAAAUGGGCUUCCAGGUUUGUGACUUUUAUUAGAUUCCGGAUGUGGGCCCGGGGGGGCGAAUUUUGAGUGGACUUUUUGACUUUUAAUUAAAAGCUUAGUAAUUUCAUAUGGAAUAGAUUCCUUUAGCUCGUGUUGAUUGUAUCGAACUAUUUGUGGCUAGAUUCGAGGCAUUUGGAGGCCGUUUCGCGAGGCAAAGGCUUGUUGGAGUAGAGUGUCGUAUAGUUUGAGGUAAGUAACACUUCUAAGCUUGGUUCUGAGGGUGUGAAACCAGAAUUUCGUGUUAUGUGAUUGGUGUUGAGGUGACGCAUGUGCUAAGUGACGGGCAUGUAGGCGUGCACCGUAAGAAUUGUGACUUGUUCGAUUUCAUGGAACUAAAUAGUUAUUAACUCGUGUUGUUACCCGUAUUUUCACCAUGUGUUAGAUCUAUUGAGUUAUCAGUCAUGUUAGAAACCCUGCUUAGGCUAUAUGAUGGUACUAUUGGGAUCCACAGUGGUCGUUCUUUGCUGUAGAACUAAUUGCUUAAUCUGUCAAUUUGUACUCAGUCACAGUUAUUACCUGCAUAUUAUGUCUUAAUCUCUGUUGUCUUUACAUGUUAUAUCAUAUCAUCAUUUGUGGGCUGAUUAUCAUGAUUAUGGUGAGCCCAAGAGACUGAAGAGGUUAUUGACUGAGUGGGGUUGAGGGCCUAUUGUGAGUGAUAUUUAUGGAAUCGGGUUGUACGUCGCAGCAGGCUUUAUUGAUUGAUGCCAGGAUUUGGCUUAUCAUAGUGCUUGGACUGGAUCGGCCCCUCUGGAGUCUGCACACCCACAGUGGGCGCAAUGCUAGCAGUUAUGACAUUUGGGCUGGAUCUGCCUUGUUUUUGUCUGCAUGUAGGCUGGAUCUGCCCUAGGCUAUGUUAAGUGUUGUUGUGAAAUUUGAAAGCAUGUCUAAGUCCUUGUUGAAAGUAUGUCUAAAAUUCUUGUACCUUCACUUGCAGAAUAUAAAUUUUUGAGAUAUCAUUGUCAUGUUUUCUGUAACUUUUCGUACUGUUAAAUGUUGAAAAUUGGAUCGUAAUAAUUGGACUUGUCACUACUUUCAGUCCAAAGGUUAGAUUUGUUACUUAUUGAGUUGGUUGUACUCAUGCUAUACCAUGCACCUCGUGUGUAGAUCAGGUGCUUCCGGUCACGGCGGUUGCUGACUUGCAGAGUCCAGACCUUUGGAUAUCAUCGAGGUAGUUGCUUGGCGUUCGCAAACCUUGACUCUCCUCCCUUAUCUUUCAAUUUAUUUAUUCAGUAUUACAUUUUAGAUAGUGUACCAGGCUUUGUCUUUUCGUAGAUGCUCAUGUGCUUAGUGACACUCCGGUUUUGGGAAGAUUCUAUGUAUUGAGUUAUGAUUUUUCUAUCUUGUUUUAAGAGAUUUUUUCUUUAUUUAAACUGUUUUAGUAUCUUUCAAUGAUUUCAAGUGUUGGAAAUGUUUGAAUAGUCGGCUUGCCUAGUACCACGAUAGACGUCAUCACGAUGGGUUGGUUUGGUUCGUGACAAGUUGGUAUCAGAGCCAAGAGAUUACUUCUCACAUUGAUAUUGCUUCAUUUAAUCCCAUAAGAAAUUACAACAGAUGUUGUGAAUUUAGAUGUUUAACAUAUAGUCUAGACUCUUCGCAAUUACAGGAAUGUUGAGGAGCCAGCACAUCUUGUUCAUCCCAUAAAUCCUUUAUCUUCGAGUAAUAGCUAUACAGAGUUCGUACCUUGUCGCACGGUUGCAAUUUCUAUCAAGAGAUGAUAAAUUCUCGUCAAGUUCGAUGUAUCAAGCCUCUCCUUCAACUCACUCCAGACCUUCUUCGCAUUUGAAGCUUAUACAAUACUAGGCAUCAUUUCAUUCGAAACAGUUCUUUCAAUCUAUGAUAGCACUCUCGCUUUGCAUUUCUCCUAUUGCUUUGCUAAUUCUCCUUUGUACGUCACCUUGACACAGGUUCCCUCUACAAAUUUAAUCUUGCCUUUACCACAAAGUGCCAAUUUUAUUGAUCUACUCCAUAUAGCAUAAUUCUCUGGCCCAAUGAGCUUGAGCGGAAUCAAAACUAAUCUAGGAGCAUUUGCAUAUGCAUUUCCAAUGAAUUCUAACCACACCCACUAUUAAUUUUUUUCUCAUGAAUCUUUUGAAUGUUGUAUAUCAUUGGUGACUUUUUGUUGGCCAAAAGUGAUACUCCCUUAUUUUAUUUAUGUGACAUAGUUUGACUCGGUACGAAGUUUAAGAAAGAAAGAAAGAAAGAAAUACUUUUAAAACUUUUGAUCUUAAAAAUUUUAGAGGAUAAAAACUUUUGCGGGGCUUUUAAUUAGUUUGGCUAAAAAAAUUUCUCAUUAAAGGUAAAUAAAAAAUAAUUUCAAAUUUAGCAACGCGUCAAUCUUUUUGAAACAAAAUAAUAAUUAAAAAAAAGUAUAGCACAUAAAUAAAAAUAAAGGGAGUAGAUGAUAUUCUACGGCUAAAUGAGCCGCAAAUAUUUUAUAUUUUUGGUACGUUUCUAUAAUUCUAUUAGUGCUUUUUUUGUGUGUUAAAAGUAAUGAGGAAACUACACAAUGUCACACCUCCUUUUUCAGGGAUUUUUUUCAUUAAAGUGAAAUUAUUUGAAUAGGAUUAUUUUAUUUUAUUUUUAAAAAAAAAUUACACUUUUCUUUCAAUUUUAAUUUAUAGCUCAAUCAUAUUUUUUUAUAAUAUUUAUAUUUUUUAAAAAUCUUUAUACUCAUUAAACAUGAGGUACACACGCAACACAUAUACCAUAAGACUAGUUCUUUUAAUAAUGGAGUUGUCAUUCUUAUGUAUAGAUAAUGGAAACCAUUAUUUACAAACACUUGAUAUGAACACAUAGCAAAGUAAUUAACAAAACAAAUAAUAGAAAUUGAGCUAAACCUUAAUGCACAUGGGAAGUCUUAAUUCCAGGGAAUAUUUGAAUCUAUUGAAGAUGUAUAACUAAUAAGAUAAAUUAUGUGCCCCAUAAUGUAAGUUUAUUAAAUAUGGCGCACGCAUCGAGGCAUUUCUUUAUAUGCAAGGCUUUUAAUGUAUCGUUAUGUGGAGGAGCUACAUAGUCUAUACGAAGAUUCCUUAUUUAAUAACUAAAUACUUAUAUAUAUUUUGAUUUUUUAACACAAUGUUCAAGUAAGAUUUUAUUCAUUUGUUAAUGUGUCAUGAUUGUGAUAUUGGGUCAAACUUAUACAGUUAUACUCACCUCGAUUAAUCUAUUAAUGACAUGUUAUUUGUCAUAGGCACCUCUAUUCAAUGAGACAAUGAUGUUCAUCAAAACUUAAAUAGAUUGGCUUAGUUAAUCGACGUUGUUGUAUUUUGAACGUUGAUCUUAAGAAUACUACUCCAAUUAUUAAAUUUCUAGGUCACUCCCGUGAGGGAAUUCUCAUCUUAGAUGAUUAGAUCUCUAUGAAGCUAAUUUGAACAAAUUUAAUUCAAACAUUCACAUAGUCAAGCUAUGCCGUUUUCAAGUGAGGUAUGUUAAAGUAAAAUAAAGUAUAAUGCAAUAAUAAAUUUAACUCUCCCACCCUCUACACCCCAAAGAGACAAAAAUCAAAUCUGAAAAAAAAAGGUUAAAUGUAUGAAGAUGUCGGCGACAAGAGGAGUUGUUUAAAUGGUAUGUCCCUUUCACCUUUGACUUUAAGCUUGUAAGUUCGAGUUACCGUGAGAGUAAAAUGGAGGAGCUUCUAGGAAGGAUAGAAAAAAUGGUGGGUAUGGCUCAUCUAAAAACACGAGAUAUUCGAAACUUUCACCAAAAUUGCAAAUAUAAUCCCUUUAAUUUCAGUUUAUAUUGUAUAGUGCCAACACUUUUUAAAACUAAAAAAAAGGAUUCCUAUUAUUUUGGGUUUAGAAAAACAAUUAUGAUGCUAACUUAAGGUUUCUUAAAAAAUAAGAAACUUGAGAUCUAAUAAAAUUAAAGAAAUUGAAUUACUAAUGAUUAAUGAAUAUUGUAUGUAACUAUAAAAUAAAUCAUACAAAAUGAAUUAAUGAUAAAAUGAAAAUAAAAUAACCUAUUAGCACAUAAUAAAAGGAGGUUACGUAAGAAGAAGAUACAGAAAAUUAUGGUGUGACAAAAUCUCUUGAAAUAAUUAGAAGAUCUUCAAAAAGGGGUACUAGAUCUAUCAAUAUGAGCGGGGUCGGGCUAGCCCAGCCCAGUCCACAUCGACUUUAGCAAUUAACGGGCUGGAUUGGGCUGGGUUAACCCACCAUUUUGAUGGGCCAUAUAAUAGUCAGCACACCUCAGUCCUAUAUGGGUUGCGGGCCCCAUGAGUUGGCCCAUCAUUUUUUAAAAUAUAAUUUUAUAUUUUUUCUUUAAGUUCUAACCUAAAAAAAGAUAAAUAUUUAAAAGUUAAAAAAAUCUUAUUAGAAAAAUUUUACAAAACUUAAUAAUUUUUUAUAUUGUUCCAAUAUUAUCACAAUAAACACUAAAAAAGUAAAGGACAAGACUAUAUUUCAUUCACUAAAAGUCAAAAGUGAAAGCAAACUAUUCAAGAGAAUGUUCAUGACGCUUAUGGGAUAUCCAACACACCAUCUUCAUCAAGCACAUUUGAAUGCGUUUUUGAGAAGGUUGUCUUAACAUCUUCACUUUCAUCUACAUCUACAAUUCGUAUGCAAUAUUAAUUAGUUAAAUAUUAAGAAUAAUUAAAUUUUUAAAGCUAAUUAACGUUUUAAGACUUUGAUCUUUUAAUAUAAUGAGCUUAAUAAACUUUAAGCUUGGGAUACUCUUCUUCUUAUUUUUUGUGUCGUAUACUUUUUAUAUUUUAAAUACGUAUUUUUAUUAGGUCCAUGAGCCGGCCCAACCCAACCUUAGUCAAGCAUCACGGGCCACGAGCUUAUUCGGACCGGGCUUAAAAGCCUCGUUUUUAAAUAGGCUCUAAAAAUUCUAGCCCAGUCCUGAUAAAUCACGGGAUGGGAUAGGCUAGCCCAUCGGACCAAGCCCAUAUUUGACGGCUCUAUGGGAUAUAUUCAAAAAUAUCCAAAUUUACAAGUGGUAAUUGAAAAAUAGCCACAGUUUCAAAAGUAAUCGAAAUUUAGCCAAUUUUCAUGUAAAUAUAAAUUUUAACGAAAACACUGUUCAAAAUCCGGAAAAUAUUCCAGCAUAAUAUACUGGAAUUCCAGUAUAAUAUAUUGGAACUCCAAUAUAUUAUACUGGAAUAUACUGGAGUUCCAGCAUAAUAUACUGGAGUUCCAGUAUAAUAUAUCGGUCCAGCAUAUACACAUGUGCUCCAAUCUCCAGUAUAUUAUGCUGGAACUUUUCGCGUGCAGGUGCACCAAUCUCCAGUAUAUUAUGUUGGAUCGGUCCGUGUUGCAGCAAAAUAGUGGUUAUUUUUCAAUGACUUUGCAAAUACUGGCUAUUUUUCAAUUAUCAGUUCGAAAACUGGCUAACGCGUGCUAUUUGUGAUACUUAUCAAAAAUAAUAUAACAAUAAAAAAAGGAAUUUACUUGCUAUUUUCAAGAAAUAGGAAACAAACAUUGGAUCUACCACCAAUAUUAUUAAAACCUUAGUGGGGUUCCUGACAAUGAAAUCACCCACCAAGAAAGUCCCCACAUUUCAGUCACUAAGCAAAUUGGACCCCAUUAUAUAACUUUUUAAAUUAAUGCAUUUUACCACACCCUACAUACUUCAUUAUAUGAUUCAUCAUUACUUAAUUUUUUCAAAAGCGGUUGCUUUCCACCCCACCUGCCCCAACCCCCUAUAGGGGAUGGGGGCUGUAUAGAAAAUAUAAAUUUACAAUAUACAAGAAUAUAUCCACUUUGGAUUAUUUGAGAUUAGACACCUUGAUUAUAGGGAGCCCUAGGUUGAAACCAACUAAUUAAUAUUCCAUUAGUUGUCCUAUAUGAAUAAAUAAAAUAUGGGGGGAAUGGGACAGAGGCUUAUUAAGUGAAGAUAACUCUAUCUCUAAUGCAUUAGUUUAAUUGAUAACAUCGCCAUAUUAUCUUUUGAUUCUUAUUGAAGGCAAAGGAAUCAAAUAUGUUUUGUUAAUGAAAUCAUCUGACCUGGAGGAAACUACUCAGAUUAUGCUUUAAAUCAGGAUAAUUAUUUAACAAUUAAAUAAUUAAGUUAACGAUAGUAGUAGUAUUGAUUAGGAGAUCUUAUGCCAUGUGGACACGAAGACCAAUGUGUGAAGUUUAAUUAGGGUUAAACUUAUAAAAUGACAAAUGGUUGUGGGUUUAUUAUCGUGAUUUAAGCUAUGAUUACGCAAUUUAUAAAACAAAGAUUACGCAAAUGAUGAUGACAAAGAUUACGCAAAUGAUGAUGACAUCUACUAUAAUCACAGAUCUCUAACAUCCCAAGUGUUUUUAAGUUUUAACCUAGUGUCUAGAACUAAAUGCAGAGAUACAACUAAUAGUACUAUUUUUGGUGUAAGAUCAAUUUGCAGGCAUCUCAAUUAUUUCAUGGGGUAUUUGCUAGUAUCUUUUACUAGCACAAUACUGAAUAAUUCUAUCCAUUAGAUAGUAAACAAAUAAAAAGAAAUCACACGGCGUGUUUGUUUGACAAAAGAAACAACUAUUCCAAUAGCAUUAUCACGUAAUUCGGAAUUUAAUUUCCUACUUGUUAUCUACAUCUCCCAAAAAGAAAAAUGCUGAUGGGCCAGUGGCCGAAGACACUGUUAUAUAAGUCAAGGGCAAUAAGGCCCACAAUUUAAAUCUUUAUAAGUUGAGCAGCACAAGAGUUGAGAUACCUUUAUCAUAGCUUAUCAUAUUUGAUUAUUGAGAUGAGGGAAGAGAUACUCUCCUAUAAUAAGGAGACUUAAAGAUGAAUGACAAACUAAACUAACAUCUUUCUGUGUUUGCGUUGAAAUAAGAAAGUAACAUACAACAUACAUGAGAAAUUUGGACAUAAGGUGGUUAAUAUUAAUUAUUGGCAAUAAUGCUACAUGUUGAUUUUAAUGAGUUAAGAUUGAUAUAAUAGAACAAGAUUUAAUAUAAUAUAGCUUAGUAACGCACAACCACGGUACAAAACAGUCUCUUGAGUCUUGUCCCAUGCAAACACAAUAACACGGAAGAUGCAACAUCCAAGCAUAUUAUGAUUUUAGAAAAUAAGAAAUAAUUUGUCCAUUCUUGUUAAUUGCUAUACUUAAAAAACACAUUCUUGUUUAUAAAUGCAGAAAAAGGUAUCUUCACUUUCUAAAGGUAUGAGCAUGCGCUCAAUAAUGAGUUUCCAACUUUCUCUUCUCCAAUUUUGUCAACAAAUGGCACUUCAUUCGCACCCCUAAAAAUAAUGUUUCUCUUCAAGUUACAUAGUCAAUGGACAUACUGUUCUUUUAUACAAAGUUUCUGAAAUGGACUUGCUGGUGCCGAGUCUCCAAGUAGCCUUCCAUUGUUAUCACCAAAGCUACCGAUCGUUUCGUCAACUCUAUUUCUGACCACAAGACAAACGACGAAAAUAGCUGGAAAAAAAAGCAAAUCUAUGAAUCCAUUUGAAUGAAUGAAGAGGGUUAUCUGGUUGCCCUCAGGAUGAUUUGUUCUUCAGACCAGUGAAUUCCUUUUCUUGCUGUUUCUUCAAGUAUCUCUGUGCAGUAGCAUUUACAAUCUUAACGAAAAAGUUCAGUAGCAUGAUCGUAACCACGCCAUUCCAAACUGAAGCAAAUGAGAAAUCCCAUUUGUUCACCUGACAAGAUGAAGAGUUUAUAUCAAGAAGAAGAACCAUUGAUUGUUGAAUCAGCAAAAAAGAAUCAUGAAAUAUCACAAACAGAAAUCUUUAAUCAUGUAAAAGAGAGUUAGAUGAAUUAUUACCUUUAUAUUUGAAGUUACAGGUGUUUUGGUGGCCAUAUACUUGUCUUUCAUGGAGUGGAGCUUGGCAAUGAUGUUUGGUAACAUGGUUUCAAAACCAGGUAUAAAACUAAGCAUCCGAAUCAACUCGGUUUCCACCCAAUCAAGAAGUUGAUUGUUGCAAACAGAAAUUAUAAACAGAGUCUGCACAAGCAUAGCCAAAGAACACAGCUCUUUCAUAAAGUGACCAGUCCAAAAAAGGUCGUCAACAGCCAAAUGACAAGAUCUUUACAUUAAGCCAAAACUAAACUAAACUAAACAGCAUCUAAGAUGUGGAGAAUCAUGAAUGCAGAAAAGGAGAGUUGACUGACCUGUAUGUGAGUUUUAAUGAGAGCCUUUCCAAUCAAAGUUGCAAAAAAGAACUCCCAAAAUGGGAUCCCAAAUUGUCCACACAUUAUGCCAGCAAGAUCAAAUAGAGGAUUUGGAACCUACAAAAGGCACCUCCGUUACCACAGUAAAUAUUUUCUGGGGUUUUAGUAAUGGGAAGUUCAGUGAUUUGCAGAGACAUUAGCAGAUUAGAAACAUAUUUAUGUACUAGAAACCAAAUCUAUAUUUGCGGUCAACGAAAAAUCAACUUUAUUUUCUGGUGGGACAAGGUGAUGCUCUAAUGUCUAGCUUUAGGAACAUAUUAAUUUAUCCGCAUGCAAAACUAAGGUAAUCUUGUUUAUCCUCCAUGCAAUGGUUUUCUGGAUGAAUAGAAGAUAGAUUUAAAUAAAGACUUGGACUAACCGAAGCAAGUAUUAGAAUUGUGAAGAAGUUCAAAUAUUGUGCAUGGGAAAGAAACCAGCGCUUCAUUUGAGUCAGACGAGUAGCUAGAAAUCCAUUACUUUCAGAAGAUGCAUCUAGUUCUUCCAUUGCGUCCACUCUACUACCUGAGAGGCUUGCUGCAUUAAGUGAUGGAAAUACAUUAGCAACAAGGACCCUGAAGAUUAAAAUAUUCAAUUAUCAUUUGCUUAUAACAAGAUCGGCAACAUGCCGAAAUUAUUUUAUUCCUGAAAUUACAGGUGAAUAUUUCCAUUAAGACUUGAGAUUGAAUGGCCGCCUAUGAUACUAGGACCAAUAGCUACACAAUCAGUUUGUGCUGGAAGUGUUAACAGAUCUAUUCGACACGGGUAUGGGCUUAAAGGCAUAAGAGACGAACCUGCUCGUGAAAUAAAAUAUGGGGGAAGCUCUCCAAGCGCGGUUCCAAGGCCCCACAAAAUAGCCUCUAACUGCACUUGGGGCAGUAUACUACUAAGUGGGACACUUGUGCCAUGUGAAGAUGAAAAUACAGGGGGGCCAAACUCUGAACAAUCUUUGCGAAGCCAUAGAGGAGUUCUUUGGAAUUGUAUUGUAUCAUAGGGAGCCAUUUUGAGGUCAACUCGCCCACACUUCAUUGCUUUUAUCGUAAAUAAAGCGAUAUGAGGGCCCAGAUAGAGGACAAAAGUGUGCAAACCAGACCCUGCAACAUGGCAACAAAAUAGAGGAUCUAAGUUUUUUAUGGAAAAGCUAGAAAGGAGCAAGUUAAAUACCAUUACUAUCAACAAGUUCCUUAUUAUGGAGACUUGAGUAGAUAAGUUGCCCUUUAAUAUAGAACAUAAGAAGCUAAAAAAUCUAACAGCGUACCAAGGCCAAUAGAAGAUGCAACACCAAGAGCCACCCACCAUAAUCCAAACUUGAGAUAUCGAAGAACCUCCUCAACAUGCUGCAUUGCAACAUAAAAUGUCCAAUUAGCAUUGACGAGUCUUUGAAUUUUAAAACAACAUACAGGUACGAUAAACAACCAAACAACGGCUCUUCAAAACUAGUUGAAUGGCUAUAUGACUCUUCACUAAAACAGUCAUGUCGGAAUGACGAACUGUUUGAACCGCCAGAAACUAGACUCAAAGGACUACAAUCUUAUCAAAACAGCACCCCAAAAUUCUCUAUAUAUUGGGAUAUAUCCAUCCCAUUUAUGUAUCAUACAAGUAGAGGAAAAUAGACAUCUGACAAUUUCUAACUCAACAAAAUAACCCAAAUUGUCAAAGAGCUCCAAAUAAACAGUUCACUUGUGAUGUAACAAUAGAAAACUCAGCUCUGAGUUGACCACUUGUCAACUUCCAGCAACAUGCAAUAAAGUUCUUUUUCUUAUGGAGGCGUGUGUGUGUGUGUCUAUAGAUAAAGGUGGUAUCCGAGCGAACUCGCAUGCACCUCAACUACUUCACCGAGUACAUGCUACUUCCCACCAGUACAGAUAUCGGAUAACUCUGCCCACCAAGGAUUAGGCAAAUGGAAAAAGUCACAUAGUAUUUUUUGCCUUUGUUGGGAUUUGAACCUUGGUCUCCCAAGGCCUUUCCCCACUUCAUUGACCACAAGCGCAACACCCUGGGUUGCUAAGCAUAUAUUCUGGUGAUGGUAAAGGUAACUAUCCUUCUCCACUACAAAAGCAACUGAAAUUGAUGAAGCAUACCUUUACAUGAGGACCGUCGGUUGUCACAAGCAGUGUUAAGGCAAGCACAGCAAUGGUACUGAAAAGCAUACACCAUCGAUGUGACAAAAGAUAUGCUAUCGACUUCCUGAGAUACUGCAUCAUUGCCAUACUGAAAAGUUUGAGUGUUCUGAAAGGCUGUGUCAACAGAUUCAAAUUUUCUAAAUCCUGUUGAUGCUUCGCACGAAGAUCUGCAAGGCAAUGGCAAUUAACUCAGCCAAGUAACUUUAGAAAGCAAUAUUUCCUUCUCUUCAACAGGAGCAUCCCACGCCCCUGACAAGAAAUUAGACUGUCCCCUUAAUUUUUGUCCCUUACUUUCUUUUCUCUGUUCAAAUCUGCCUCGGUGAGCAUCACAAAUAAGCUUUCUGCUAAAACGUAUGCUAAAAAUGAUAUGCAAAAAUAUAAAGACCGCAACAGAACUAGCACUGCAUUUACAAUGAUGAACAUGUUCUCCUUCCUACAACAUGCCAUAUAGGUAAAAUAUUUUUGUUUCUUUACUUUUAGCGUUUUUUCUUUGAUGUGUUGGCUGUUUCUUGUUUGGUCAACCAAAUUGAUAAAGAGACACACUUAUUACUUUAUUUCCUAUUUUGUUCAAUCAUAUCAGUUAGAUUAUGUCGUUAUUUUUUAACUCUACAACAACAACAUACCCAGUAUUAUCCCACACCGUGGGGUCUGGGGAGGGCAGUGUGUACUGUGUACGCAGACCUUACCCCUAGCUUGUGAGGAUAGAGAGGUUGUUUCCAAUAGACUCUCAGCUCAGGAAAGCAUAAGCACCACAUUAAUGAUAUUUUUAACUCUAGUCAAGUGAAAGUUCCUACAAAAGUUUCUCAUUAAUAAUUCCACAAACAAUUUUCAGAAAAGAAUUGAAUUUCUCUCGAUACUUCUCAAUAAAUUUAUUUCCUCAUUCAUUUAAUAAAAAUGUAUUUUUUUAUCCUCAUCUAUAACAGAGGUAUAACAUAAGCUUCCAAAUAUUAAGUGAAAUAAUGAAGCCUCGGCGAUUUUAAUUUAUCUCUAUAAGUUACUUUUUUUGUUCUUUUAUCUCUCUGUAUAAGUUACGAUCUCGAAGAUUCUUAAAAGUUGGGAUACAGUAAGAUUUUAUGCUGAUAAAGCACUAGUAUACAAAUAACAACAAUAAGUAGGUAAAGAUGUAUGUAAAGAUGUAAAGUAGGUAAAGAUAACUUGUAAUAGAUCAGUGCUAUUGAUAUCCUCCCCAGUUUAUGGUUGGAGAUAUGAGCCUAUUAUAGUGAAAAAUUAGUAAGCAUCUUUAUAGAGUUGAUCUUAAUAAAACAAGUUUGCCACGGGCUACGUGCCUACUGAACUGAUCACUUACAUGAAACAAAGAUAAUAACUCAUAAGUUUUGCAAUAAUAGCAGUUCCUAAUGAAACUACUUUCUCGGAAAUUUUUUUAUUAGAAAGGAGUUGCUUUCUAAGAAAUUUGAUAUAUAUCAUAGUUUAACAACAUAAAUGUUUCGAUUUUUAUACAUCUCUUUCUUCUCUCCAUAUGCAUUUAGUGGUCUUCCAGGCCUUCAGAAUUAAAAAGCAUAUUUCGAGUUUCUCAUCUUAAUAAGAAGAAAUGCUCAAAAGAUAAAUGCAUCAUGUAGUUUCCAGUUCACUAUGUUUCUUCUCAUCAUCAAGUCACCGAUCAUGUUAAAUGAUACAUUGCCAAACUAAAGUCUCAUUCGCUGCUCUACCCACAGAUGAAUAGAUAUGGCACUCUUGCAGAUAAGAAAAGAUUCAAGCUAAGCGGAUUGGGGCCAAAAUAGAAGGGAAUAAACAACUACCAAAUUAAAGGAAAUGAAUAUUGACAGAAUAUCCAAACUUCAAAGGACUUAACAUUUCAUCUUCACCCAACACUAUGCAAUAGAAAGUACUCCCCAUGUUUCAUAACAAGUGUCUUAAUUUCAUUUUUAGUAUGUUUAAAAAAGAAUGUCACUUUCCAUAUAUAGUAACUCUUUAAUUCAAACAUCGGAGGUGGGGAGUUCUUGGAGGGAGAGAGCCGAAGGUCUAUCGGACACAGCCUCUCUACCCCAAGGUUAGGGGUAAGGUCUGCGUACACACUACCCUUCCCAGACCCCACUAGUGGGAUUAUACUGGGUUGUUGUUGUUGUUGUUUAAUUCAAACAUCCCCCAUGGCAUGUUUAAAAAAGACAAGAUUCAAAGGGUAUAUUGGUACAUUAAACAAAUCUUUAGUUUAAUAGCACAAGAUUCAAAAGUCAUCCUUAAUUUCUUAAAUUCCGU